AAGAGAAGGAUUGCUCCCGCCGCGGGGGAGGAGGAGCGUCGUCGUCAGCGAAGAUGCCGUCUUCUUCGACUGAGAAGUCGUCAGUAACCGCGACGUUACGGACGAAGCGAGAGGAAGCGGCGGAGAUGGAGAGGGAGAGGGAGGCGGAGAGGGAGUGGAGAUUGAAGGAGAGGGAAGGAGGUGAGAGGGAAGCGGAGGCGGGUCUGGAGAUGGAGAAAGGAAGGGACUUGGGGGUGAAGGUGGAGAGAGCGAGAGAGGAAGCUGAAGCAGCCAUGGUGAAGAGAUGAGAAGAGAUAAGGUUUGUUUUUAGCUUUAGGGGUUUUUUGAGAGUGGAGAUAAGAUGGUGUGUUUCUGAUAUUUAUGGGCCAAAUGGGAAUAAAUAUCUUUGCACAAAAUAUCUCAUUCUGAUUUUUAUUUACAAAAUUUGCCUCAAAACUUUAUUUUAUUGCUAAAUAUUCUGCUGCUAAUAAAAUUUGUCAAAUUUUGAUGAAUUUAUCUUAACGUCAUCUCUAAAAAAAGUAUGUAUUUAAAAAAAAUAUAGGUUUUCAUAAAUUUGUACACAAUUUUUUUAGAAAAUCUUAAUUUUCAAAAUAUUUUGUAUUUUCUCACUUUAGUGGUGUUAUCUUUAGUGAGAUGACAGAUGAGAUGAGAUCUAAGCCGUAGAGUUUUGGAUGGACAGUGGAGAUGGCACGUCUCAUGCCAAGGCCCCAAAAAUAUAAAAAAUCUAUAAGAUAGGAUAUUUUAACUAAAAGCCAAUGGAAUUAACAACUCUCGUUCCAGCACAGAUCUUUAACUCCAAUAAAUUCAGAAAACAAUACAGUUCCUUUAAAGAAAACCACUGAAUCAUACAAAGGUUGCUCCAUUCAAAACAAGUUAAUAAGAAACUAUUUAUUUGGAUAACAAUAGAAGACUGAAGUUCUUGAACUGCAAAACGCUUUUAGGAUCUCUUCAAUUGGAGGGUCAUCUCCAGCUUCUUUGUCCUGAAACGUUCCAACAAACAAGUUGUUGAGUACGAGAUUGUGAUUAAUUUACCCCUUUGAUUACAUUGACAUGGUGUAAACACAAGUAUUUGAUCAAAACGUGUUACCUGGUCCAUACUCCCCGGUCCGAUCAAAACAUGAGAAACACCAGAUGCAUCCAUCACAUGCUAAGAAAACCUCAAAUGUAUCACUUAAUGAAAUGAUCAAAACCACAUCAAGAUUUUGACAUUGUUGUUUUUACUCCGGGAAAGCCGAAAGAAAUAAGAAAAAUCCUAACUUUAAGUUUUAGUUAGAAAAAAAAAUCAAAUUAAAAAAAUCUCGUGGAGUGGAGUUAUUACACGUUGCAUAGAUGACGUAAGCAUUGUCCGAAACAGAAAAAGUCAAACGCCACGUAAGCUCAGUAAGGGUAAAAAGUUUUGGAAAGGUAGAUCCUUUUCUAAAAGCGAAUGUUCCUUCUUUGCACGUUCAAGCGAUCUCAAGCCGCUCCUCUCUCUCUCUCUCUAUCAUCUCUGAAAUGGCGAGAGUACUGCGUGUGGCGAGAUCCUCCUCCUCCCUCUUCAGCUUCGGAAGCAGAUCUUAUUCAGCCGAAGCUAGCCACGUGUCCUCUCCCCCUCCUCCGUUUCUUGGAGCUCGCAGAGACGUUACCAAGGAGAGAAACGUGCAGUGGGUGUUCCUCGGUUGUCCCGGUGUCGGGAAGGGGACUUACGCCAGCAGACUCUCGAGUCUCCUCGGUGUUCCUCACAUCGCCACCGGAGAUCUCGUCCGUGAUGCGCUAGCUUCUUCCGGACCUCUCUCCCGACAGGUUCUUGUUUCACUUUAUGUCCAAAUGAAUCCCAAAACGACGUCGUUUUCUGUUUAAAUCUGCUAAAAGUUCAUGUGUCUACCAACAGAUCUAAUGAACUAGUGUUUGUUUUGUCCUAACGGAUCUGAUCCUUUUUCUAAUAAUAGUCAACGGCUCUCUCCUCUUGCUUGUAUUGAGAUUCUUAUUACUUGAUUGCAGCUAUCAGAGAUUGUAAACCAGGGGAAGCUUGUUUCUGAUGAGAUCAUAGUGAACUUAUUAUCAAAGAGACUUGAAGCUGGUGAAGCCAAGGGCGAAUCAGGUUUCAUUCUUGAUGGCUUUCCUCGUACCAUGAGACAAGCUGUAAGUUAAUUCAUUGACUUCACAUCAUAUUGAGCAAAGUUUUGAAUGAUUAAUCUUUGUGUUUUCAGGAAAUAUUAGGAGAUGUCACUGACAUCGAUCUAGUGGUGAACUUAAAGCUACCUGAGGAGGUUUUGGUUGACAAAUGCUUAGGGAGGAGAACGUGUAAUCAAUGCGGUAAAGGUUUCAAUAUAGCUCACAUCAACUUAAAGGGUGAGAAUGGGAAACCAGGAAUCAGCAUGGAUCCACUUCUCCCUCCACCUCAGUGUAUGUCAAAGCUCAUCACUCGUGCUGAUGAUACUGAGGAGGUUGUGAAAGCUAGGCUCCGUAUUUACAAUGAAACCGUAAGUCCUCUUUCUCUCUCUCUAUUGUUCUUCCCAUUUUAGCGAUGCUUGAUGCUUUGAAUGAUGUGUGCAGAGCCAGCCUCUUGAAGAGUACUACCGUAUCAAGGGAAAGCUGAUGGAGUUUGACUUACCUGGAGGCAUCCCUGAGUCUUGGCCAAGGCUGUUAGAAGCUUUAAGGCUUGAUGAUUACGAGGAGAAGCAAUCUGCCGCGGCGUAGUUCAACUACAACUCCGGUUUAUAAUUCUUUGCAUGUGGAAGACAUGUGCCUAUAUCAGUUUUGUGUUGGAAAAUAAAGAAAACCUUAGAUUGUUUUUUUUUAUUGCCUCAGAUCAGAAUAAUCAUCAUCAUACACACUUUGCAAACUAUAUGAUGUAUCAUGAUUGUUUAUGAGUUUGCUAGUUACAGGAAUGUAUAAACACUUUGGUACACUUUUGAUUAUUUAUUGUUGAAUGUGAUCAAUGAUUGUUUAUGAGUUUGCUAGUUACAUUACAUGAAUGUAUCAAUACUUACACUGCUUGUUACACAUCAGGUUUGAUGUUUGGGCUCUUGUGAUUAGUUUGUUUAUUGUUGAAUGUGUGUGAUAAUAUUGCGGCUGGCCGAGCUGGCUGGUUAAAGAACACAACCAGACAGUAAAGUAAAACAGUCGCAUACAUUAAAGAUUUUGUGGAACGUAUAACCAGCUCCUGUCUGUCCUAGAAUUGGCGGUUCGGGAUAGAACUGUUCCUUACAUACUGGAACUUCCAGUAGAAUUUGAUGCUAAUUGUUGGUCCUAAACUAGUGUGUAUCAGUUGCUAUGUGAUCUCAUAACUGGACCUUAUCUUAUGGUUUGUGCUUGAGGUUUCUGAGAAAUCGCUGGGUUCAUUUGAUUCUUCUGGUUUGACAAUUAGUUUCUUGUUAUGGACACGGUGAAAUCAGACUCAAAUCGGUGGAAUAAGACAGCCUCAAAGAAGGCAGACAUAAUCAUGUUUGCUCUUGAUUCAUCUUCAAUCUCAACAGGACAUUAAAAUCAAUUUGUAGCUUUAUUUUGUUAGUAUAUAGAUUUGAUGAAAUAAACAACCUUUAAAUUAUAAAUAUAAAGAUGAAAAUAUUCUUAAACAUGAAACCGUUUUGAUCAAGAUUCAAAAAAAACUUCAUUAAAAGAUAGGGACAUCUUCUGAAACAUAUCCAAAAAGCUCUAAUGAAAAACAGCAAGAUAAGGUCUUUGAGAUGUAAUGCAAACUCAAGGCCUAGGAAGAUCCUCCUUAACGGUUGGCCUUCGCAACUCUCUCAAUCUCAUCCUUCUUCUUGAUGGCAUAGCUGCAAAAAAACAAGACAAGAUGCUAUUAGUAUUUAGCAACAAACAAACACAAUUUGUGAACCCGCUUUAAGAGACAAGACAAUGUAAAGAUGUUUACCUGUUGGAAGAUCCCUUGGCAGCAUUGAUGAGCUCAUCAGCAAGGCACUCAGCGAUUGUCUUGAUGUUUCUAAACGCAGCUUCACGUGCACCAGUGGUGAGCAAGAAGAUGGCUUGGUUCACACGUCUUAGAGGAGAGAUAUCAACAGCCUGCCUCCUAACCACACCAGCAGAUCCAAUCCUCGUCGCAUCCUCACGUGGACCACUAGCUCACCAAUAAAACACACACAACAUUAGAAAAAAAGGUUUCUAGUAACACGCAAUAAAGAAUGCAACAUUGUUGUCUUACCUGUUGACAAUGGCAUCAAUGAUAACCUGAAUAGGGUUCAAGUCAGUCAAGAGAUGGAUGAUCUCCAUGGCGUGCUUGAUGAUCCUCACAGCCAUCAGCUUCUUUCCGUUGUUCCUUCCGUGCAUCAUGAGAGAGUUCGUGAGCCUCUCAACGAUUGGGCACUGAGCCUUCCUGAACCUCUUCACAGAGUAUCUUCCAGCAGUGUGGGGGACAAAGGUCGCGUGCUUAGCAGGCUGAACACCAAUGUAGUCAACAAGACUAAUGUCUGUGACCUACCCAUUCACAAAAAAAAAAAACACAAGAUCAACAAAACAAAUACUAAGAACAUAGCCAUUGUUGCCAAUUUAAAUUUUAGAGAUCUAAUAUUCAAAAACAAACCAAACAACACAGAAAGUGUUGGACUUUAAGACAAAGAAACAUCAGGAUCAACCAAGUGUACUGAGACAAUAAAACAUGAAUUGAAAAUUAACAAAAAUAAAAACAAAAAGAGGACAUUUUUUCCGACAUAACUCCAUGAGUUAUAUCUAAUUCAGACAAUGUAACUAUUUUUUUGUAAUAGACCAAUCAUUUCAUUGUAGAAUUAGAUCCUAUAAAGAUUGCAAAUGAGCUAUCGUAAACUUACCGAAACGUCAUCAAAGCUCCAGCGAUUGAAGAGCUUGACCUCGUUGGUAAGCUGCUGCUGAAUCUCAGCGUCAAUCUCAACGGCGGCGGCCAUGGCUGGAAACACCAAACAAAAGCUUAGCCACAAGCACACACGCAAACCAGAGAAUCGAAGAUGAAGAAGAAAUCAAUACCUCAAACUCGUAAGCGUCGUGNNNNNNNNNNNNNNNNNNNNNNNNNNNNNNNNNNNNNNNNNNNNNNNNNNNNNNGCGUCGUGUGGAGAUGAGACGGGACUAGGUUUAGCUGCAGCUACUGCUUGAAGAAGGUGGUGAGAAGAAACAAAAACCCUAAUUUUACUAGAGUAUAGGGUUUUUAAAAUGGAUUUUAUUGGGCCCAAUGGGCUUUUCGUAAGGCCCAGUCCAAGUCGUUAUACCAUAAGUCUUUAGAGCAUACUAGAAAGAGAGCAUUCAAUGCGGGAUGUCGACUUGCUAGCUCUCGUCCAUGCACCGUCCGUCGCCAUCAAUCCGUGAGUUUUUAUCGGUUUUUGUUCAAUGACUCCAACGAACUUUGAAAGAUUUGCCCACUCUUCCUUGCAAAUUAAUCACGAGAUCAUCGCCUUGUACUUGUUACUCCAUUUUGUCGUAUUAUCAUAUUUACUUGUUACUCCAUAUUGUCGUAUUAUCAUAUUUUUAUAAGAUAUUCACUAACAGUAACAGAUAAGUCAUUCUUAUCCUAAAGUCAUUUUAAUUCAGAGACGACAAAAUUUAGGAAAAAUAAAUUCUAGAUGAUUUAUCGAAAAAUAUUUGUGUGUAAUGUUAUAGUCAGUUAACUUAAUUCGUUUGCAAUUUCUAGGAAUAAAAAUAUGACAGUCUAAUUCGUUAAAUUAGUAUACUUUCCCAAAAAGACAAAUAAUACAAGCUGAUCUUGAAGAAUCAAUAAAUUAAUGUGAAAAUGAUAGACAAUGAACGUGAAGAUUGCUUGAGAUAUGAUAAGAUACUUUCAAUGCUCCCGACAAGAAAAGCAUUAAUUUGGACUCGUUGAUGCAUGGGGUAGAUAAGAGUGGACAGGGGAGCUUGCAGAGAUUGGAAACAAGUAUGGGGGAUCGAGUUUCAAGAGCAUCUCCUCAAGAAAUGAACAUGAGGAUGAGAACAUUUCUCGUCGACACACAAACUGCUAAGAUAAACUAUUGUGGUAAGAUAGAAUAUAUGUACCACAUCAAUGUCCUAGCUAAGAAUAGAUACCACAGCAAUGUUCUAGCAAAGCAAUAUUGUCGAAAGUUUGUUCAUCUAUAAUUUUCUUUUCCUUUUAAUUAAUUAAGAUGGGUGCAAUUUUUGCCUAGCAACACUAGAAUAUAGAAUAUGGACCACUUAUGUAAUUUAAGCAUGCAUAAUGGCACACUAUAAGUACUAGCUUUUAAAUAAAUAAAGUGAUCCUUCAAUUAAUUAGGUAUUUCAUAUUCUCAAAGUAAGUUAGGUAAUAAUACUUUAAUUUCCACACUUUCUUGACCCAAUAAAACUCCCCAAUAUAUUAUUUGUAGUCUACUUUUUUUUAUUAAAUUUGUAGAUAUUGUUAGAGGAAUAUAGUAUGUUUUCUUUUGAAUUAUUAUCUCUUUUUAUUUAUUUUUAUUUCAAAUAAUAAGUUUGUUUAUUUUUAAGAAGAAUAUCCUACCUCUAGUCAAUUCAAAUUGUUUGUUUCCGACCAUAUUCCAAUCAUGGUAAAUUACCCAAAAAGAACACAAAAUAAUGACGUUGAGACACUCUCAAAAGUUAGCACGUAACAAUUGUAGUAGUGAAAAGACGUCUAAGCAUAUUAAAUAUAUUUACACUUUGAAGACAAAUGCAUAUCUCAUUAUUGACUAUUCAUCAGAUAAGAAGCCAAGAGAGUACUCACUGAGACAUGAGUGGUGAUGAUUUGAGAAUGGAGCUUGCAGAGAUUGGAAAAAGCAUGGGGUCGAGUUUCAGGAGCAGCUCCUCAAGAAACGAGGAUGAGGCAGAGCAUGCUCUGCAGUGGGCUGAGAUCCAAAGAUUACCUAGUUUCAAACAACUGAGAUCAUCUCUGGUCGAUGAAGAAGGGGAUGAUGUGGAGAAAGGGAAAAGGGUCGUUGAUGUCACCAAGCUUGGAGCCAUGGAACGUCGUCUGAUGAUUGAGAAGCUGAUCAAACACAUUGAGAAUGACAAUCUCAAGCUGCUCAAGAAAAUUAGAAGAAGAAUAGACAGGUAUAUGUGAAAACAAAGAAACAAACCUUGUGAAUCUUGAACUGAGUUGUUACUUUGCAGGGUUGGUGUGGAGCUUCCAAGCAUAGAGGUGAGGUAUAAGCAUCUAAGUGUUGAAGCAGAAUGUGAGGUCGUUGAAGGGAAGGCGCUUCCAACUUUAUGGAAUUCUUUGAAGCACAUUUUCUUAGUGAGUAUACUUGAGAAUAUAAUGCAUUUUGCCAGUAGGUAGUAAAUUGUUGUGAACAAACGCGAAUUAACUUCAAAGAAAACAAAAAAAACUUGAAAAGAACAAAGCACGAUUGAGGCAAAUAUCAUUUUAAAAUUUGUAUAUUGAUUAUGUGAAUAAUUAAAUCUACAACAACUUAGACAGUUGUUAACAUAACUAGUAUUGAACUAUACUUUUUUCUUCUUUAGGAGUUGGUAAAGCUGAGUGGUGUAAGAACACAUGAAGCCAAGAUAAGCAUACUUAACGAUGUUAGCGGCAACAUUAACCCUGGAAGGUAGCUUUUGAUCCAAGCUUUGAGUUAGUGUGUAAUGCACGCAACUAAUGCUCUCUUCUUGUUGCUCCAAGGUUAACACUGCUGCUUGGUCCUCCUGGAUGUGGAAAAACUACUCUGCUCAAGGCUUUGUCCGGAAACUUGGACAAGAAUCUAAAGGUUUUCAGACUUUGUUUCAAUCUGAUUCUCAUGAUGCAGAUGUGUAAACCACAGAACUCUUUUGUUUUCCACAGAUUUCUGGUGAAAUCUCUUACAAUGGACACGGUCUAAACGAGUUUGUUCCUCAGAAGACAUCCGCUUACAUAAGCCAACACGAUCUGCACAUUGCGGAGAUGACUGUUAGGGAGACAAUAGACUUCUCAGCUCGUUGUCAAGGUGUUGGUAGUCGAACAGGUAAGAUGUCUUCUGAAGCAUCCGCUAAACUAUUUGCUGAAACAGAUAUAUCAAUUUUCUCUGUACCAAUGUUCAAAAAGUUGUUUGGCUAUAACUAUGCAUUUUAUAGAGGACUACCGAUUAGAUUGAUUAUUCGGGGCAGUGCUAACGAAAUAUUGAUUUGUUUUAUAUAUUUUUUACAUUUUUAUAUGAUAUUUUUUGGCUUUAAUUAUAAAACUAUUUUGAUGAAUUGUAAAAAUUAAAUAUACAAAAUAAAACAAAUUAGAAAAAUCUGUGGAUUUGCACUAACAUAAUUGGUUAAUUUAGAUUGAUUUAAACCAAUUUUAACUGAUUUAGAACAAUUCAAACCGAUUUGAAUCAUGCUCUAUACUAUUGGCUGAAACAGAUAUUAUGAUGGAGGUCAGUAAAAGAGAAAAGGAUGGUGGAAUCAUUCCUGACCCUGACGUAGAUGCUUACAUGAAGGUCCCAUUCCAUAAGCUAAUCUUUUAAGAGGGAUGAUUAUAAAACCUUUUGUUAAUCCCAUUGUGCAGGCUAUAUCGGUUAAUGGACUUAAAAGAAGUCUACAAACAGAUUACAUCUUGAAGGUAAUUUCUCUGACAACAACUCAGACUUGUAAUCCUUGUUGAUUAGCUUCUUGAUUAUGUCAUGUAUUUGCAAUUUGCAUUUCUUUUUCUUCAGAUCCUAGGGCUUGACAUAUGUGCAGAAACAUUGGUUGGUAAUGCCAUGAAAAGAGGCAUAUCUGGUGGUCAAAAGAAGCGUCUUACUACAGGAGAGAUGAUCGUUGGUCCAACAAAAGCUCUGUUUAUGGAUGAAAUCACAAACGGCUUAGACAGCUCCACAGCGUUUCAGAUAGUUAAGUCACUUCAGCAGCUGGCUCACAUCACCGACGCAACUGUGUUUGUUUCCCUUCUUCAGCCUGCUCCAGAGUCAUAUGAUCUCUUUGACGAUAUUGUCUUGAUGGCUGAAGGAAAAAUAGUUUAUCAUGGUCCAAGAGGCGAGGUCUUGAGGUUCUUUGAAGAGUGUGGGUUUAGAUGCCCAGAGAGGAAAGGUGUUGCAGACUUUCUACAAGAGGUAAGAAGCCAAGUUUAUGUUCCUUGACACUUACGUUUUGUUCUGAGUUGUUUUUGUUUUGCAGGUUAUAUCUAGGAAGGACCAAGGACAGUACUGGCUGCACCAGGACAUACCCUAUACCUUUCUCUCAGUAGACGCGUUGUCCAGGAGAUUCAAGGAGUUAGAGAUUGGGAGAAAGAUUGAGGAUGCUCUCUCUAAGCCCUAUGAUAAUUCAAAAACCCACAAGGAUGCUCUCUCUUUCAGUGACUAUUCUCUUCCAAAGUGGGAGCUGUUCAGAGCAUGCAUCUCAAGAGAGUUUCUAUUAAUGAAGAGAAACUCUUUCGUCUACCUCUUCAAGACGUUUCAGGUUACAUUCUUCGUUCCUUGUGUCUUCUUUCAAUGUUCUAGGGUUAGGUCUAAAGAAACCCUUCUUGCCCUUUAUGUUUUGCAGCUUGUUCUGUCAGCAAUCCUCACUAUGACAGUUUUUAUUAGAACACGUAUGGGUGUAGAUAUCAUUCAUGGAAACUCUUACAUGAGUUGUCUCUUUUUCGCAACCGUUGUGCUUUUGGUGGAUGGUUUGCCAGAGCUGUCUAUGACUGUUCAACGUCUUGCCGUGUUCUACAAGCAAAAGCAACUUUGUUUCUAUCCAGCUUGGGCUUAUGCAAUCCCUGCAACCGUGUUAAAGAUCCCUCUCUCUUUCUUCGAAUCUCUCGUUUGGACUUGCCUUACUUACUACGUCAUUGGAUACACUCCUGAAGUCUCUAGGUAAGAAGAACUCUAUAACCAUCUCUUGCUUGCUCCCUACUCAAACGAUUAUGGAAAGUAAUGGUUACUUGGUGUUUUUAGGUUCUUACGUCAGUUCAUGAUGCUCUUUGCUGUUCACUUCACAUCCAUAUCCAUAUUCCGAUGUAUAGCUGCAAUCUUUCAGACAGGAGUUGCUUCAAUGGCAGCUGGUAGUUUCGCCGUAUUAAUCACCUUUGUGUUCGCCGGUUUCGCCAUCCCAUACAGUAAGACUUUUGCACUCUUUCUUCAUUUCAGUCUUGUUCCAAACUUCCAUCAAAACAUGACCAGGGCCGGAUCUAGGCACAGCCCAAUAAAACAUCGGUCUCGGUCCCUAAAUUUUUUGAAAUUUUUAGUACGAAUAAACCCCUAAACUAUAGAAAAAAAAAAUUGUUUUACUAAGAUUUUUAAAUGUUUCAAGCUCCCAAAAUCUCAUAUCCGGCCCUGAACGUGACAUUGGUUUUGUUGCUGCAGCUGAUAUGCCAGGGUGGCUGAAAUGGGGAUUCUGGGUGAAUCCUAUAGGUUACGCAGAGAUUGGGCUCUCUGUAAACGAGUUUCUUGCUCCGAGAUGGCAGCAAGUAAGUAUCUCAUCUUUUUACAUACUUCUCUUCAUCAUUCUUACAAGACUAAUCAAGUUUUUCUUGUUAUGUUUUGUAGAUGCAACCAACGAAUGUUACAUUGGGGAGAACCAUACUUGAAAGCAGAGGACUGAACUAUGAUGAUUACAUGUACUGGGUCUCAUUAUGUGCCUUGCUGGGACAGACUCUCCUCUUCAAUACUAUUUUCACUCUAGCUUUGAGUUUCUUGAAAUGUAAGUUACAAAAUAUCGAAAAAUAUGCCAUGGACUAAAGCAUAAACUGAAGAGCUUCUUUUUUAACAGCUCCCACUACAUCUCGCGCUAUGAUCUCCAAAGACAAGCUCUCUGAGCUGCAAGGAACAAAAGAUUCAUCACUCAAUAAGAACAAGAAGGCAAUAGAUUACACAGAAGAUUCAGGUGAAACAUAUAUGUCUUUCUUGUCAUACAAGCAAACUCUUUAUUCUCAGUUUAGCUUUAUUGACCUAAUUCAUUCAGCAGGGAAGAUGGCCUUACCUUUUAAGCCUCUCACCAUAACAUUUCAAGAUUUGAACUACUACGUUGACGUUCCUGCGGUAAAAUCUUCUCCUCCCCAUCCUUGGAUCUUAACCAUCUUCAUAUGCAAACAUGAUCAUCAAAGGACGUUUUGACUAAUCUUAGGAGAUGAGAGUUCAAGGAUACAAUGAGAAGAAACUGCAGCUUCUCUCAGAUAUCACCGGAGCUUUCAGACCAGGCGUUCUAACAGCGUUGAUGGGGAUCAGUGGAGCCGGAAAAACAACUCUACUCGACGUUCUCGCCGGAAGAAAAACAAGCGGAUACAUCGAAGGAGAGAUCAGAAUCAACGGAUACUUUAAAGUCCAAAAAACCUUCGCAAGAGUCUCAGGCUACUGCGAGCAAACAGAUAUACACUCACCAAACAUCACCGUCGAGGAGUCUCUAAUCUACUCAGCUUGGCUCCGUCUAGUUCCAGAAAUAGAUCACAAAACCAAAAUAGUAAGCCGGCCCUAGUGAUUCUAAAAAAGGCAAGAAUGACCUAGAAAGUAACUUGACUGAAAAGAAACUCGUUGCAGAGAUUCGUGAAGGAAGUUCUUGAGACGAUAGAGCUGGAGGAGAUCAAGGACGCGAUGGUGGGAGUCCCCGGCCAGAGCGGGCUGUCGACGGAGCAGAGGAAGAGGUUGACGGUGGCGGUGGAGUUGGUGGCGAAUCCUUCGAUCAUAUUCAUGGACGAGCCGACGACGGGGCUGGACGCAAGAGCAGCAGCCAUUGUGAUGAGAGCUGUGAAGAACGUUGCGGAGACUGGACGUACCAUUGUGUGCACUAUUCAUCAGCCUAGUAUCGAUAUUUUUGAAGCCUUCGACGAGGUACAUAUGUUUUUCAAAUAUGAAAAGUAUUUAUAGUGGUUUUGUUUUAAAAGAAUACUCUCACAUGUAUUAUAUUAACAUUUUAUCCAAAAGUAGAUAUAAGAGAUUUUUUUUCUUCAAAAUAGCCUUUAUCAAAAAUUUGAAAAUUAUAGAAUAAUUGAGUUUAGGGUUUAAAAGGGAUGGGUGAGAUUAGGUUUUAUAAAUUAAAGUAACUUAAUUUUUUUUAUUUAAAUGAGUGUGUUUUGAAGAUCUGUUAGUGUUAUAUUUGUGAUAAACUUUAAAAGUGCUAUUUUGGAGUUUUGACUAUUUUGUGGAUAAUUAAGAAGAAAUUUCUUAUAACAUAUUGUUUUUAUUACAUGUUCAGUUGGUACUUCUGAAGAGAGGAGGUCGCAUGAUUUACACUGGACCACUUGGACAACAUUCUUCUCAUGUCAUACAGUAUUUUGAGGUUAGCGUGUUAUACAAGAAAAUGAGCCAGUUUAGUUUCUAUGACUUUUUCAAUGUUUUAACGAAAUAAUUAACUAUGUAUAUUUUUGUUAUUUGGGGUUAAUGAACAGAGUAUCUCUGGAGUUGCUAAGAUUAAAGACAACUACAAUCCAGCAACAUGGAUGCUAGAGGUCACUUCACAGUCUGUAGAGAUUGAACUCAACAUGGAUUUUGCAAAAAUCUACAAAGAAUCUGCUCUCUACAAGUGAGCUGAAUAUCUCAAAAACAACUGAAACCUUGUCAUUUAUUACGAGCUCAUGUGUUUUCUCUGUAGCAGGAGCAACUAUGAGCUUGCUCAGGAGCUGAGCAAACCGGAUCCCGGGUCAAGCGAUUUACAUUUCGAGAGAACUUUUGCGCAGAGCUGGUGGGAACAGUUCAAAUCUUGUCUAUGGAAGAUGAGCUUGUCUUACUGGAGAAGCCCUGCUUACAACUUGAUGCGAAUCUUUCACACUUUAGUCUCUUCUUUGAUCUUUGGUUUACUCUUCUGGAAGCAAGGUCAAAAGAUGUAAGUUAGUUGCAUAAAAUACAUUCAAAUCAUCAUUAGAGCAUGUUCAUUAGUGAGACCCUUAAGUGUCUCUUAAGUGGGGUUUAAUAAUUUUUUAACUAUUAAAUUUAAUAUAAGAGAUUUUGUUAAGAAACACUUAAUUAUAGUGGUUUAUUGGUGGUUUCUUAAUUAAGGUGCUUAACAAAUAAAAAAAUAUUAAACUUUUUUUAAACAUAAAAUUUUAAACAAAGAUUAAUUUUAUUUAUUAAAUAAAACAAAGUCAAACAUAACAUUUUAAACAUAGAUUUUAAAAUAAAAAAAAUUAAAACAUUAAAACAAAGAUUACUAAAAUAAACAAUACUAAUUUUAAAGCGGCAUCCAAGUUCAGUUGUUGUGUUGAUCACGUCCAAAUUUAUGCCAUAUAUGUUCAACCAAAUCACCUUUCAGUUGUUGAUGCGCUUGUCUAUCACGAAUUCUUGUUCGAACACCCAUCUGAUUGGCGAUAUUUGUAGGGAUAUCUGUAGAAUAUGUUAAAUCUACAUAUGAACUUCUGCUGCCUUCGCCUUGUUGGAAUCCCGAGACAUCAAACUAACUGCAUUCAUCCCGUUCGUUUUCUACUAUCAUAUUAUGGAGUAUGAUACAUGCUCUCAUAAUCUUCCCAAUCUUGACUUUAUCCCAACAAAGUGCUGGAUUUUUAACAAUGGCAAAUCGAGCUUGCAAGACUCCGAAAGCACGCUCGACAUCUUUUCGGGCAGCUUCUUGAUGUUGAGCAAAUAAAACUGCUUUCGGCCCUUGUGGAAGUGAAAUAGAUUGGAUGAAAGUUGCCUAUUUCGGAUAAAUUCUAUCGAUCAGAUAGUAAGCCAAAUCAUACUCUUUUCCGUUGACUGAGAAAUUCACUUGCGGGGCUUGACCAUUUAUGAUGUCAUCAAAAACAGGUGAGCGAUCUAGAACAUUAAUAUCAUUUAAGGUACCUGGAGGUCCAAAAAACGUAUGCCAUAUCCAGAGAUCAUAUGAAGCAACCGCCUCUAAAACUAUUGUGGGUUUCCCCGAACCACGAGAAUAUUGCCCUUUCCAAGUGGUGGGACAAUUCUUCCACUCCCAAUGCAUACAAUCGAUGCUUCCUAUCAUCCCGGGAAAUCCACGAACCUCUCCAAUAUAAAGUAGACGUUGAAGGUCAUCCGGUGUUGGUCUUCUUAGGUACUCAUCGCCGAACAAAUUUAUGAUUGCUUCCACAAAAUUUUCCACACAUAACCGAACAGUGGUUGCACCGAGCCUGAGGUAUUCGUCGACCGCAUCAAGCGCAGAACCAUAUGCCAACACACGAAUAGCUGCUGUACACUUUUGAAGCGGGGAGAGACCUUGCCUUCCGGUAACAUCCUUCUUCUGACGAAAGAAUUGGACUUCGUUGGAGAGGCGAUCAACAAUAUACAUGAACAAAGGCUUGUUCAUUCUAAAUCGACGUCGGAAUAGAUUUGCUGGAUAUGUCGGCGCGUCACUGAAAUAAUCAUUCCAUAACCGGAGAUGGCCUUCUUCACGAUUUCUUUCAAUAAAAACUCUCUUUUUCUUUUUCUUCCUUUGAUCUUGUUGAUCACCAUAAACAUUGCACAAAUUCUCAAAUGUUUGUUCGAAAGUCUGAUCAAAAUAUUUAUCGAACAUUUCAUCAAAUGACUCAUCCAAAUCAAAUGACUCAUCCGAGAUGUGAUUUGAAGACGAAGCCAUGAAAGACUUGAUUUCGAAAAUUUAAGAAUGGUGAGUGUGUGAACGUGAGAUGAAAAAGAGAAGGAAGAGAGAACAAAGAGAACCGAGAGAAUGAGAACGUAGAGAAUUGUGAGUAUGAUCAGUUUUUAUUUUACAAAGAGAAUGAAGAACCGAGAGAAGAACAUGAGACUAUAGAGAUAGAGAAUGGUAAGAGAGAAUGGUGAUUUCUUUACGCUCUCAGCACAAACAUUUUAUAACCGUCACCGUUAGAGAGAGAGAGCUCGCCGUUGUCCAUCGUCGACGAGAGAAACCCAUAGAAACGUCGACAAGCUCAACGGAGAGGGAGAGAGAGGAAACGCCGUUUCGUCGACGAGAUCACCGAGACAGAGAGAGAGAGAGAGAGAGGAAUCACCUUUUCGUCGAGGAGAGCACCGACAGAGAGAGAAAGAGCUCGCCGUUGUCCAUCGUCGACGAGAGAAACCAAUAGAGACGUCGACGAGCUCAACGGAGAGGGAGAGAGAGGAAACGCUGUUUCGUCGACGAGAUCACCGAGACAGAGAGGGAGAGAGAGAGGAAUCGCCUUUUCGUCGAGGAGAGCACCGACAGAGAGAGAAAGAGCUCGCCGUUAUCCAUCGUCGACGAGGAAUAUCCAUAGAGACGUCGACGAGCUCAACGGAGAGGGAGAGAGGAAUCGCCGUUGUCGUCACUCUUGCGGAGCAACCGAGAAGAGAAAGGAAAGAGAGAAAGAAACAAGAACGACUUCACCGUUCGGAGAGCCAAUAACGACGUGACACGUCGCCCAAAUUACCGUGUCUUCGAGCACUUAAUUAGGGGACGUCCCUUGGCUUUAUUUCGUGUUUUCCAUUUUUUUUUAUGAUUAAUUAAGUUAAGGGACAUGCUUAAGAGCUGCCUUUGAACAUGCUCUUACAUUCCUAGUAAAGAACUGUCUCACACAUUAGGAAAGUACUAUUUUAUUUCAAAAAUAGCACACAAGAAUAUUUUUUUCCAAAAGAGUAUUAACUAAAAGUAUAUGGGUGUGGAUUUAGUGAUUAUGAUUUAGGGUUUAAUAUUUAGAGAGUGGAGUUAGGGUAAGAGUUUAGGAUACAGAGUAAUUUAGUCAAUUUAAUCUUUAACUAAUUAUAGUUUGAGAAUUUUUCUCUUAUGUUCUAUUUUUGUCAUAAUUGUUUGUAUUUUUUUUUUUUUGGCAGAGAUACUCAACAGAACUUGUUCACAGUUCUUGGAGCCAUCUAUGGCCUUGUGAUAUUCUUGGGGGUAAACAACUGCACUUCAGCUUUACAGUAUUUUGAGACAGAGCGUAACGUUAUGUACCGCGAAAGAUUCGCUGGAAUGUACUCUGCCUUUGCCUUUGCACUGGCUCAGGUUGUGACCGAGAUUCCUUACAUUUUCAUCCAAAGCGCAGAGUUUGUGAUCAUAAUAUAUCCUAUGAUGGGUUUAUACGGAUCUGCCUAUAAAGUCUUUUGGAGUCUCUACUCAAUGUUCUGCAACUUACUCUCCUUCAACUACUUAGCAUUGUUCCUCAUCUCCAUCACUCCAAACUUCAUGCUCGCAGCUAUUCUCCAGUCUCUUUUCUUCGUUGCUUUCAACCUUUUUGCUGGAUUCUUGAUUCCACUACCGGUAAGUUCUUUUUGUAACAAGUCAUUAUAUACCAUUAUCAUCAUCGUUGAUCUUUACCUAUAGUUAAUAGUGUUUUUCCUUGAUGUUGAAACAAUGCAGCAAAUACCAAAGUGGUGGGUGUGGCUUUACUAUCUAACACCUCCCUCUUGGAGUCUCAAUGUGUUUUUCUCGUCUCAGUACGGUGAUAUUCAUCAAGAGAUCAAUGCAUUUGGAGAAACCACGACCGUGGCGAGAUUCUUAGAGGACUAUUUUGGAUUCCAUUAUGAUCGUUUGAUGACUUCAGCCAUUAUUCUCAUAGCGUUUCCAGUUGCAUUGGCUUCUAUGUUUGCUUUCUUUGUUGCCAAACUCAACUUUCAGAAACGAUGAUCCAUCACACACCAACCAAAGGUUUGAAACACCAAAGGGUAGUUUACAAAUUACUGUAUGGACAUGCACGUAUUCGUUGUCACACUAUUUGUAAACACUAAACAAAUGCAAAAUUUAUUUAUAAAAUCAUAAGAAAGUUGGAUAUACUCUAAUGCAUCAAAAUAAAUAGGUCUACAACAUAAUAGUAACUCUCUUAUUUUUUUACCAUAGAGAAAUGAUCUACGGCUGAAUACUUCAAAUAUUAAUUAGUAUACUGCUUCAUGCAAUUGAAAUGAAUAGUAAAGUAUACUGCUUCCUUUAUUCAGGCACAUCAUAAUUUUCAAGAAGAAACGUCAUUUUCUUUCUUUGAUCACAAAAGACACAAGAAGAAAGAGACAUGUGUGUGUCUUGUCGUCCUCCCCAUCUCUACUAACACUUUGAAUUUAAUACUGUCAAACUCAAAGGUCUCCUAAAGCCUAAUUAAUCCCUUUAUGAUCACAUGCCCUUCUCCUUCCUCUCUCUCUCUCCAUUCUCCUAGUACCCAUCAAGAACUUCCACAAAAGUAUUAAACUGUAGCUUCAGGAUCCAACCUCAGAGAAACGGUUCUCAAUCAAGGUUAUUUGAGUAUUGGAUAUUCUUGAUUCUUGAACUCAGGAAAAGUCAUUACUAGCCUGUGAUUCUGCUUCAUGACUUGAGGUUGAAGCAACAACACUUUCUUCACCAGAAGAAACAUCUUUGAUCUUUGAACUUAACUCUUCUUUUUCUUCUUCCACGGAGGCAACAUUUUCAGUUUCUUGAUCAAUGUUUUCUUCCUCAACAAAUCCAUUUCCAUGAGUUUCUUUUUCCUCUCCUUCUUCCUUGGAAGCUGAGGUGGAAACCGAUGAUAAACAAGAAACUUCAGAUGAACUCAACUGCUCUGAUCCUUCAGAACUGCGAGACCCUUUUAUGGAUUCAAGCUUUUUCAUCAGAAACUUUAGUCUCUUCUCUGCUUUCUCCCUUAAUCUGAUCUCUUCUUUCAGAUUUUUCUCCAGCUCUUCCAUCUGUUUCCAAGAGAUUAAAGGUUUUCUUUGAAACAAAAAUCAGCUUAUUACCAAACAAAGAUUAAAAAAAAUAAAAAUAACAGAGCAAAUGAAUUUACAAGUAACAAGAAUGACUCUUUUCUUGGUUGUUGAUUAAACCCAAAUCUUCAAAAAAGUAGUGAGAAAAAGGCAUUUCUUAAACAAGAAUGAUGAUACUAAGGAUUUUAUGAAACUUACCUUUCUGGUAAUGAGGUCUGCUUCAUCUUUUACAGACCUUGAAACUUGCCUCUCUGCAAGCAGUCUCCCUCUUAGACACUCCACAGUUCUCAGAUUUCCCUUCUCUUCUCCUUCCUCCAUCUUCUUACUUGCAAAAUUUGUUCUUAAACAAAAAAAAAGAAGAUAAAAAUCAAUUCCUCAUAUACACUCUCUACAUAGAACUUUCUUAAAAUCACACAAUACGACAUAUACAUGUAUAUAAAGAGAAAGAGAAACCUGCAUUUCGUGUUGUAAUUGAAGGGAUCAAUUGUCAUACUGUUCUUUAUAUAUUCAAAAACCAGAACCAGAUUGGUAAAAGCUUGUAAAGCUCAACUUCUCACCUAACUGCAAAAAGGGUAAACUAAAAAUAAUAAGACAGUUAAGACCAAUGUGUUGUUAGAUUGAUGUCACUAUGAUUUACAUUUAUUGUUCAUUCAGUAAGAGGAACAUAUCAACAUCAUAUCUUAAAAACCAACUUACCACGACACAGUCGACACUCUUCUUUAACAAAAAAAAAAAAAAAAUCUCAAGUUCAAAUAGUAAAACAGAUCCAGUUUCAAAUUCAAACCCCCUCACUUGGUAGAGAAGAGUGAAAUGAACUUAAAACCACAAAAGUUUUGAAGUUCUCCUGAAAAGAAGAACAGAAUCUGUGGUGUAGGGACAUGUUGUAAGCAAAACGACAGUGUGGGAUUGGACUUUUGUUACCUUCUCGUGAGUUGGUUGGUAACUCUCCCACUUCAAGACCUUUUUUAUGGUUAAUAAAUUUAACUUCUUACUACAAGGUUAGUUUUAUAUUAUAUGAUACCGCAAAUAUGCAUGUGAACAAGAGGAGUCAUCCUAUUUGUUAAUAUUAAACCAUAUUGCUAUACAAUUUUAGUUUUACCAAGUGUCACAGAUCCCUUCGUCAACAAUAUCACAACAAUACAAAAACAACAUUUCUUGGCCACACAGAAAGUUAAUGCUCCCAAGUCCCAACCUCUCGCUAUAAUUUUACUAAAUAGUUUGUGUUAAUUUUCUUUUUCAAAUUAGAUAAUUAGUUACCAACACGCAAAGAAAACAUUCGAGUGAUUAAGAGCUCACUUGUACUUCACUCAAAGAUCAAAGUAAUUACCAUAACCCUUUUAAUCAAACUAUACUUAUUUUGUGAAGCAACCUAAUGAAUAUAUUCUUGUUCUUAUUAGGAACCCCGCCACUUCAAUCCAAGCCACUUAGUAACUCUCAAGUUAUAGCGAGCUUGGGUAUGAUCUUACCGAUCAUUCAAAGUUAUGUUCACUGACAACAAUAAAAACUACAUAUCAUGAAAAGCAAAAUCAUUACACAUAAACUCUUUUAGAAGCCCCACAAGAAACCCUUUUGAACUCAUUCGACUUCACGGCAAGAAAAUCAAAAAGCUUCAUCAAGCUCUUGUUUCAUGAUACACUCCUUGUCACUCAUCGACUCAACCACACCCUCUAUCAUCUCAUACAUCUCGUUGCUUCUCUCACACGAACCAUCUUUCGCAAUGAAACUUCGUAAUCCUUUACCAGUAUCGAUCCAGCUAGUUCCAGGGAUUUUCUUCAAUCCGAUUUUUUUCAUCUUAUCCCUUACCAUCUCAGCUUCUUCCCAUCUCCCUGCUUGAGUGCAUAGAUUCGCCAUGAUAGUGUAACUCCCUGUAUUUUCUGGUUACAAAAAUAGUAAUACUUAUAUAUAAAAAUUAAUUUUAUUUAAUAUAUUUUCAUUUUUAUAAUAGUAUAUAUAAAUUUNNNNNNNNNNNNNNNNNNNNNNNNNNNNNNNNNNNNNNNNNNNNNNNNNNNNNNNNNNNNNNNNNNNNNNNNNNNNNNNNNNNNNNNNNNNNNNNNNNNNUAUCAUUUUCGUUAAUGUAAUAGGAGGGCCAACCCAAACAGAGAUUGUCAUGAGCGAGAUAGACACACCAGAGAGCUUUCAGCUUAUGGAGUUUGGAGUUAUUUUCGAGGCGACGAAUCACUUUUCCGAAAGCAACAAAGUCGGACAAGGUGGUUUUGGUCCAGUUUACAAGGUAUUUUAAUUUCUCUAGCUAUUUGGACCGAAUCAAAUUAAACUUGAAUCGGCCGGUGACUUGUCUUUCAUUCAACUAAAAAACUAAUAAUAAUAAGGGAAAAUGUGAUGGUAUUGCAGGGAACCUUGCCUGAUGGAAACGAGAUCGCAGUAAAAAGAUUGAAAGCGAGAUCAUCUCAGGGGAUGGCAGAGUUCCGAAAUGAAGUGACUCUGAUUUUACGUGUACUACACGUGAACCUCGUCCGACUUCUAGGCUGUUGCAUCCAUGGAUACGAUAGACUAUUGGUCUACGAGUUCCUGGAGAAUUCUAGCCUCAGCAGCUAUAUCUUCAGUUACUCUCACUCUCUCUCUCUCUAUUCUAGAAUUUACUUGUUAUUUUGUAAACUUUAAACUUGAUUCGUUUUGUUUUUGAUUGAUUACCUCAGAUCAAACUAGAAGCCCGCUCCUAAACUGGGAGCAUAGGUUCGAUAUAAUGAAAGGUAUUGCUGAAGGAUUGUGCUACCUCCACAACUUCACAAGCCCACCGAUACUUCACCGCGACCUGAAACCAAGUAAUGUGCUUCUAGGCAGAGACAUGAUCCCAAAAAUCUCAGAUUUUGGGCUGGCUCAGAUGAUGGAAACUGGCACCACAGAAGCUGCAAUGGAAACAGCAGUAGGAACUUAGUAAGCAUCAACAAAUUGUUAAAACUUUCUUCUUCUUCUUUUUUUUUUUUUCACUAAAACAAAAUCACAAUCAAUUAAUUAAAUCCUCUUUUGUUUGUUUUUUGUGCAGCGGCUACAUGUCUGAAGAAUAUGCGAAAGAUAAUAUCAUGUCCCAGAAAUCAGAUGUCUUCAGUUAUGGAGUAGUGUUGUUAGAGAUUCUUACUGGAAGGAGAAAUCAUGAGUAUUGUAUUGCAAAUCCAGGAGAUAGUCUUCUCGACUUCGUAAGUUUAAUUUUUCUUUGUAUUCUUAAAAUUUUAAAGAAAAUUUAUAUUUUAGAGUUUUUUAAAAAGGUUUGGAGGCGAUGGAAGGAUGGUACUGGAUUGGAGGUCGUGGAUUCGAGCUUCCAUGAUGAUUCAUUUAUAGAAGACCAGGUUUUACGAUCAAUGAAGAUUGGUCUAUCCUGUGUUCAACAAAAUAUGCACGAUAGGCCUAGUACAAGGACCAUUGUGGUUAUGUUUGAAAAUGGCCCACGAUCAGAAAUUCUAGAUCCGACGAGACCAAACUAUAAUCUCACAAGAGCUGAUUCAUCUUCUUCUCCAGUUACCGUUACCGACCAAUCAGUCACUAUUAACGAGGCCACUUUGUCAUGCACUGACGCCAGGUGAUGUUUUUAUGUAGUGCGUUUUUCUACUAGUUUACUUAAAAAAAAAAAAAUUUGAACUAUCAUUCCUAUGUUAUGUUUAAUUUCAUGUGUUUUUUCUUCUAGUUUACUCUUUGAAAAAAUAACUACUAUUAUUCAUAUGUAAUGUUUUUAGUUGUUUGGGUCUCAGUGCGGGAGACUGAUACUUUAAUGGUUUAUCUCUUUUGCUAUGCACUUAAUGACAACGAACAUAAUAUCUCGAUAUAAUAAUUAACAACUAGGAUGAGACAAAACCAAAACCAAAACCAAAGGCAACAAGUUACAAGACAAACUGUUCAAAGUCAAUCUAAUCACAAAGAUAAACCCAGUUACAUAAUAUCCCACCUAUUUUUGUUUUUUAGCUGGUGUUUGAUCGAUGUUCUUCACCUGCAAGCAAAAAUGUGGCUUUAGCUGCUUCCUCUUUUGGUGUCUGAAAUGCUUUAAGAACAGAGAGAGAGAGAGGGAGAGCAAAAUUGUUUUACUGGGCCGCAUUCUAAAUAGUACGGCUUUGGUAAUUAUGUAAACAUAUCUUAUACCGAGACAAAUAAGAAUUAAAUUAAGUUAUCCUAUCAAUUAAUUUCAAAACCUCCACUUAGUCUAAUGAUUAACGGAAUCAUUUGGUUAGAAUAAUUAUUUAGCCAUAAACACCAAAAUCACAUGGAACAUAAGCUCAAUUACCUGUUUGGUGCCUUCAACAGAAGAAGUACGACCCCAUCUCUCAGGGGUCCCAAAGUAUGCUACUGUUGAAAGCAAAGCUUGAUAUAUGAACCGGAGGCUUUAUCUCUGUCUUGUUAUUAAUUUUUCUCAAAUGCCACCCCAAAACUUGUGAAGAUUCACAAACCGGCCUCUCUACUAUCACUCGCUUCCUAUUAGCUGAUACCAAUAUGUAUACAUUGUUUAGCCCCGCAAAAUGGACUAUCCCGCUUUGUUUGUGAUGCUCAAUGUGUCUCAACGCUAGGUUCCUUUGAUGAUCAAGCUCAAAUUCAAAGCUCGUGAAGUUUUCUUUGAAGACUAUACGUCUAUACAUUAAACCAGUUUUUCUUAACAUUGUUGGUGAAGAGUUUUCUUCAGCAUCGGAGUGUUUCUCCACGACUAUCCACAAUAAAGGAGGUGGAACUAGCCUCAAAGUAUUGGCCAUUCUCCUAAGGAGCACAAUUUUGUAACGAUCUUUCGUCAUUACCCAGAGUUACAACAAUCACUAGACCUCUUGGUGCAACUUCUUCUUCUUCUGUCUUGGAGAGUGAUCUGGUUUCUUGUUCAGGUUCUUGUGACUUCAAAGGUGCUGGGGCCUGACCUUGGGAACUGUUCAAUGCUUUAUCAACGAGAGGAUUGUGUGUAUAGGUAGAGUUCUCAAAAGGUUGGGAAGGAAUCUGAGAUUUAGUGGUAGUAGAGGGGGUGGUUUCGAAAUUAUAGAAAAGUGAAGCCUUACCAGCAGGAGCAAAGCCAGUGAUGAAACACAUUACAAAACAUAGAGAGAAAUGGAUCACAGCUUUCUUCCAUACCUGAGUUUUCUUCUUUGAUCUCUCCAGAGAUCCCAUCAGGAUCCAACCCUAAGAAGAAGUUUUUCUUAAUUAAGUGAUUUUCCUUUUAUUUUUUGGGAAGAACAAUCUAGUUUGAAGAGUAUGAAAUAUAAGGGCUUUUAUGACAUUUGUAUAGUUUUUGUCUUUAUAUUGUUGGUAAAUGAUUAAAACCGGCGAGCUACGUAGGAGUACGUUCUCUUUGAUUGAUUGCGUGUGUUGGUUGUGUUCUGCAACAACUUGUUGGGAUCAUUGGAACUCACUAGCUAGCUGAAACAUGUUUGGGAAAUAUAAGAAAAUUACUGUUAAUAUAGCAAAUAUAUUAAAAUUAAACUUUGCUUAUUAAUGACUCUUAAUGCAAGUAAUUAAGUAUUAUUUUAGUUGUUGUUGAUGACUGAUGAGUAAGGUUAUGAUCAAGAUAGGAACUUUUGAGAGUACCUAAUAUAGAGGAUAGUAGUCUUCAAAAAGUGUGAAGUGAUGAAACUUGAAGUUGAAAGAGACAAUCCAAAAAAUAAAUAUUAACAUGUCAUCGUGGUUUAUAUUAUGCACUUUAACAAAUGGAUAUCAUUUUUACCGUUAUAUCAAGCCAUGUAAAUACAUACCACCACAAACAAGUCGUUUUCUCAAGAAAGUUAGAAAAGAGAUCAAGCUGGACGAGGAGUGAGCCUAUCUUUGGCCGCCGUGUCUCCACGGUGGAGGCCAGAGGAGAUACGCAAGCAAGAAGAAGCCCCCCGAGAAACGCUCUGUUACUAACUCGGUGUUCUUGGAGCAAGAACAAGAAGAGACAAAGGAACCUCAUGAUGAUGACGUCAUUGUCGGAGAACCCAAGGUUGUGCAUUUAAUAUUCAGUUCAUUUAAUACAUCAGUCAAGUCACAUUUCCAAGAAAAUACUCCACUAACGAAGGCGUCUUUGUCUAUUUUUAAUUCGUUCCUUAACGCGUACGGAACGCGGCCCAAUAAAAUAAUUACUUUAAUUCUAUUUUAAGUCUCUGCUUCUCUACCUUCUUUCCUCUUUGUAAGAUCAGAGAGAGAGCGUUUGUUGAGAAGAUCUUAUUAGAAGGUGAAUAUCAAUCAGAACAUGGCGAAAGAAGACAACCACGAAGCUCAACGAUGCGAGUGCGAGGAUCAUGAGGAAUCGAGUCCUCUCUUGCAAGUUAACGAAAGCAAGAUCUGCUCAAAAGGGGACACCACCAAGACGGCGGAGGAAUAUGGCUGGACGGCGGAUGGAUUGCCGGUGAGCCAAGGGAGCGUGAUCGGCGAGCCGAUCGGGAGAAACCAAUGGAGUUCCGGUCUUUUUUCCUGUCUCGGCCGAAACGACGAGUUCUGCAGCAGCGAUCUCGAAGUUUGUGAGUCUUUAUGUUCUGUCUCAAUGAUUAGUGUCUGAAAUUUGGGAUUUUUUUGUUAAUGGGUUUCUUGAUUUGGUGGAGGAUGAAUUGUAAAGUUUUGAUUUUGAUGUGUUUUUCACUGUUGGUGAGUCUUGCUUGUGUUCUGUCUGACUGUCUCAAUGGUUAUUGUCGGAAAUUUUGGUUUUUUUUUUAUUUGGUAGAGAUUGAAUUGGAAAGUUUUGAUUUUGAUGUGUUUCACGGUUGGUGAGUCUUGUGUUCUGUCUCAAAUGAUUAUUGUCGGAAAUUUGAGGUAUUCCCUAAUGGGUUUCUUGAUUUGGUGGAGAUUGUAUUAGAAAGUUUUGAUUUUGAUGUGGUUCAUGGUUGGUGAAAAGACUCAAAUCUUUUACAUCUUAAUGGCUUCUUCUUUGUUAGGUCUCCUUGGAAGUGUGGCUCCAUGUGUGCUGUAUGGAAGCAAUGCAGAGAGGCUUGGGUCUGCUCCUGGAACGUUUUCGAAUCACUGCUUGACGUAUUUGGGGUUGUACUUUGUCGGCAACUCUCUAUUUGGAUGGAACUGCCUUGCUCCAUGGUUCUCUUAUUCUAGCCGCUCUGCCAUUCGCCGAAGGUUUAACCUUGAGGUAAUGAUCAAAUUAUCUGGUAUUUAAUCCGGAAAAAAACUGAAAAAUCUGUUUUUAUAUCUGAAUUAUCUGAAAUUAUCUGAGAAAAAGGAACCGAACCGAAAUUUUGUAUUAGUCAGUUUUUAACAUUGUUGCCCGAACCAAAAACGGAAAUAACCAAAACCGAACCAAAUUUCAAAUAAUCAAACGGUUCCUAUAUCUCUAGAACCGAAAAUCGAAAAAAAAAAAGAACUGGAAGUGAACGCCAAGCCUAGUUGUACUCUAAGAAAAGAGUCAAUCAACUCCUCUCUUUAUAUAUCUUCUUGGUUGUGUACCACUCUCUGAGUUUUAUAGGAGCCAUGGAGAGACAAGUCUUGUCUCAUAGGCACUCUAGUGUCUCUAGUUUUGGGCAUGUGUAUUACGAGAGUCUCCGUUGCAUUCCAUCUCGUGACCCUAUCUUUUGUUUUCUUUUGGUGUAAAAAACAGGGAAGCUUUGAGGCGAUGAACAGGUCGUGUGGUUGCUGCGGUAGCUGCAUAGAGGAUGAGAUGCAAAGGGAACAUAUGGAGACGACUUGUGACUUUGUGACGCAUGUCCUUUGCCAUACAUGUGCACUUUGCCAAGAAGGCCGUGAGAUCCGCAGGAAGGUUCUUCACCCGGGUUUCAAUGCUCAGUCCACUGUGGUUGUGCUUCCACCAAGUGAACAAACCAUGGGACGUAAGUAAGUGAAAAGCUUGCGUUGAGUCAUGUGUCCUAAAUAACAUUUGUAAUACACAAGGUGAACUAUGACGUUGUCUCUUGCUUGCUUUUGUCGCGUGUUCUUUUCUUUUUUUUGGUCUUUCUUCAGUGCAUGCAAAUGUAUGUAUAUCUUUAUUGUUACGUACUUGGUUUUGGAUAUGGUCUUGUAAUAUUCAAUAAAGUUUCGCAACUUGUAACUCUAUAAACGUGGAGGCAUUCCUUUCCGGCGGAACCUUCAUUGCUCAUAGCUCCAAACCAAAGUCUGUGAGAUCAGAUGUGGUAAAGAACGGUUCGGAGAUUCUAAUGAAAUGAAAGAUCUGUUUUUGGACCGGAGAGAUCAAGACAAAAGUGAUUGAUUGCAUUUAAUUUAUAAGACUUUUUAUAUCGCAACUUUGCGAGUCUUUAAUUGUUGCACUAGAGAUCCAUUGUAAUCAUUGUGGUUAAUUUGACUCCUUGAGUUUAUUAGUGUGCAUGUGAUAUGAUUUCUUUAGAUUUGGUUUUAAUAUACAUUUUGUGAUAAAAGGGUCAAGAUCUAUAGCUUAAUACUAUAAUUAAUGUUAAUUAGUACAUUUGACAUUUUCUUAUAGAAAUGAUUAAAUAGGUCUAUUGAUUAGACGCCAAACAAGACUGGCCAAAUUAAUCGCUGAUAAUUCAAAAGAAACCAGACGAAUUAUCAAAAGAUCUUCUAAUAAUGAAAUGAUUUGUACAAAGAGUCAAAAGGAGACACAUGGAGAAGUGCCCAACUCGUCUGGCAUGGCACCUCACUACUAAGCAAUCACGAUUUGGCUUGUGGAGUCAACGAGCUUAUGACAUUAGCUAGUUAAUUUCCCCCAAGUUGACAUCUACUUUUUAAACACAAUUUAUUUAUUACUUAUUAUACAAUUGUAGAUCUCAUCAUAUAUUUUUGAUAUGCGAUUUCUAGUAGUUUAUUGUAGACGACUGUUCUUUGUUUUCUCUUACUCUCUAAUCUGAAUCUCAUUGCAUGGUCGGCAACAUUUUUUACUUGGAACAUUUUACCAUCAAUAAUCGAAUUUUGAUAUCAUGUUAAUAAGUUCUAAAAACUUUAAUGUAUAACUUAACUUAUGUCCCUUAUACAUUACCUGUUAUUCCAUCACAUUUUGAUUUUGAAUUUGUAAGAAGUUUAUAUUUGUGUAUCAUAUAAGUUUAUGGUCUUGAAUCUAAUAGUUUUUGGUACUGUUAGUUCUAAAAUCAUUGACGAAUAUACCAAAAAAUGUGACAAGAGAUAUAUAAAAGUCCCAUCAAAUAAAUUUGGAUUGGUAGUUGUUUCGAAGUCACUCCCUAAUGUACCAAGAACAUAUCUUAAUCCAUCCCAGUUUUUGUAUCUCUUCUUAUUGACUCCAAACCAUUAACACACACACACACAUACAUACAUAUGAUAUAUGAUAUAUAUGGUUAUUAUCUUUCAUAGCAAACAUAAUCAGUUAGUUCACAUAACGACAAUCCUUCCUAAUCUCUCCUUGGUCACCGGUGAGAGGAUUGGUCUCGGACAAGAGCCUGAUAGCGCGUGAAAAUUGCUCAUGGAAGUAACCAUUGUCCGCAGCCAUCUUCGCCACAAAGGGUGCGGUCCUCGGAUCCGUGGCUAUCUCAUCAUCGAUGACAAGGAGUCCUUUAUGAGCCAUGAUGUUUUUGUAAUACAUAUUGUCCACAACCAUCGGUGUCUCAGGGUCGUUGCGGGAGUAUAAGACCUCUUUUGGGUUCGGAUUUGGAGUAGGGCAACGUUUUUUCAAGUAAAGGGCGUACGUAGGGUCGAGAGUCGGGUCAAUCGUUGGGUAUAGCCGGUGCACUAGGUUAACGCAGUGGACUCUACCCACUGAGUGUGCACCUACGGUAAUAAAAAUUGACCGAUCAAUAACAAUGACAGUUAUAUAUCUUUAUUAUCUUAACUAGUAAAUAAACUUUCCAAAAAAAAAUAUCAUAUGUAUUAUUUAAGUAUAUGGUUGAUAAAACUAUUUUAUUUUGAUUUUAUCAGAAAAUGAACCAAAAAUACCCAAAUUAUCUUCUAUUGAACCACCGGACCGUAUAAAAUUUGGUUUAAUUAACGGUGUAAAACGCACAUCUAUCCUAAAAUCUUGAACAAAUUCAAAAACCAAAAUGUCCAUCCUGGUUAGUGUUACCGUGCUGGCUCAAAUCUAUUGACCUAUGCAUUUAAAAGAUAGUUUCUACUCAGAUUUAUAACUCAGGUACCUAAGAGAGCAACGGUGGCUUCAACAUCGAUGCCGAUGGAGUUAAAGUUUGAGAGAACAGACGAGAGAGAGUCAUUGUGGUUAGGAACUAGAGCCUCAACAUCUCUCAAGUAGCUCCCUCUACUGUCUCUCCUUCCUGUCUUUAUCAUAUCUAUCUUUGGCCCUUUCAACUAUUCAUUUCACCAACCAAAAAAAAAACAUCUUAAUAAAAAUAUAAUUCCAAACUAAUUAAAUUAACCUUACAAUGCAUAUACUUACCAUGACAAUACCAUCUCUAGCAGAGAGAGCAACAAUAUCAGCGCAAGAGACUGUUCCAGGACAUUCUUUCUCGAGUGCAUCUUUGAUAGUCUUGAUAUACUUAAAGUUUCUCAUACCAAAACUCCUUGUUGACUUUUGCUCUGAUUCCACACCUCUUGCUGUCUCUAGUAGCAGUGACGCAUCACACGACUACAAAAAAAAAUACCCAUGAACAUAAAUAUUCACGAUGACUUUUUGGUAAUCAUGUUUUUAAAAAUAUUCACGAUGAUGAUGAUGCCAUGUGAUUAUAGAGUAAAUGUAAUUACCUUGACGACGCAGUCAUGGAAGAGAUUACGGAGCCAAGAUACGGCUGUGUUGCCGUGUUUGUAGUACAGCGUCUCCACUUGUUGUCUGAUUAUCUCUUCCGCUCUCGGACAACUCUCUCUGUAAUAAUUCAUCUUCAGUUCCGCAUUUCCUACAGUUUAGUUAAUCUUUAGAUUCGAUUUAAAAAAAAGUUAAUCUUUAGAUUAUUCGCUUUAUUUACGUAUGAGUGAUUACUAGCCAUUUUAUAAUAUAAUAUUUGUUGAAUUUUUACGGUGGAAAUUAGUUUACUAAAAAAAACCGUAGUUAUUUUGGUUUCAGCUAGCAAAAAUUAGAAAUAUAUUCUCGAGACAUGGAUACACGUGGCAUAAUGUGAUAAGAGAAAAGGGAAUAUAAAUUACCGAUAUGAAAGAUGGAAAAUAACUGUAAUAACAGGCAAAAGAAAGCCAAAAAGCAGAAGGGCAUCUUCACAAUGGCCAUCUUUUUCUCUCCUAUCUUUUUGUACUUUGUUGAUUGGUGUGUCUCUUUAUGUGUCCAAUGUAGGGUUAUAUAGAGAUUCAAGAGACUUGAGAAACUCUCUUUAAUCGUGUAAUAUAUAAUUAAGUAUUUUUAUUUCUUAUAGUCAUAGUGGUUGCCCAUGUUAAUUAUUCUUUUUUGAAAUUAUCAGGGGAUUUCUUAUUCUAGACGAAUAUUAAUAUUGAAGCUUGUAACCACUAGCUAUAUAUCUGAACUCAAUAGUUGUUGAACAUGUGAAUUCAGUGAGACGAGUUUUCCUAUUCUAUCCGAUGAUAAUACAAAAUUAAAUUAGUUCGGCUUUUCACUUCUUUUCACUUUUAAUUAGCCUUCCUCAUACAUGUUUCAUGUUCACAAGAUACAAAAGGAGGAGAUCUGUAAUAUAAAUUACGCUCUAACUUGUAACUAAUUGAUUGGAUUGGAUUCGAAUAAAUAAAAUCAAAAUGUAAAUGCUUGCGAUGAAUAUGUAUAUUACACAUCAACUUCAAGAUGACCGACUCAAUUAACUCCCAAUCAUGCUAAUCUAUAGGUAUUCAAUAUAUAGCAUACAAUAUUAAAUACGGUUUCACUUAUAUGAGUUCAUUCACUAAUAUAUGAGUAAAUUAUUAUUACCCGACUGCUGCAUAAAUUUUAUACCACCGAUUUAGUUUAUAGAUUCUAACAGACUUACUGACAUGUUAUAUUAUUCCAUUUGAAAUAUCGUUACCAGUCUGGAUUCUUUGGCUGACUUAAAAAAAAUAUUUUGCUUCAAUUGUGUAACAAAUGUAGAAGGAUAUUAUAGACUAGUCAUAAAUAUGUAUAUAUGCAUGGCCCAUUGUUAUACAUUUUGGGAAAAUUAUUGAAUAUAUAUUAUAUAAAAUCAUCUGAUGGUAGCCACAAUUUUUUUGUUUAAAUUAUCUGUAACAUGAUUACCGUCUAUAGCGGGUUUGCGUCAUUUCGGACAUGCGCUUGAUGCAAAAUCAAUACGACUGUGGAUGUUAAAAUGGAUAUAUUGACUUCACUAAAUGUUAAUAUCAUCAUCAGCCACUUUAUCCUUCGGCCACUUAGUCACUUGUGAUAUUUUUAACACAACACAUUGGGUGAAUUCGUAUUAUACGCAUUUAAUGUGGCACCAAGAGUUAAUUCAGACCCAUUCAUAGCUAAGCAGUUUAUAAUAGGUUGCCGCUAUUUCAACGUAUCAUUCAUCAAAAUUUGAUGUAUCUAUUUUAGUAGAAAACGAAAGAUGUUUCAUUUUAUUUGGUGUAAUAAAUCUUUAAUGCUCUUGAAUACUGCUUAAUACCGUCAGAACUCAGAACAUUAACUUUAGUUUUAAAUUAUAAUGCAAUUACUAAAACACUGCAAAUUUAUUUCAUUAUACAAUAUACAAAAAAUGAUCAUGUAUACUCUCUCUCUUUUCACAAUGAUAAAUUCCCAUUUUUGUUUUUAAAGAAUUUUAAGGUUUUAAUACAUAUUCCCUCAGUUUCGUAAAGAAUACCACUUUGACAUUUUCACACAAAUUAAAAAAAUGAUUAAAAUACAUUAAAGUUCUUAUUAGUUACACUUAAUAUGAAACAGAAAGAGUAUUUAUUAGUACUUGUUACAAAUUGCAUAUAUCAAAAUAUUUAUUAAUAAUAAAUACAUUUUUAUUUUUAUUAGUUUAAAUUUAUGUAAAAUUGUAAAAAAUUUAUAAUUGAUCACUAAACAUUAAUUAAUAUGUGUAAGAAAUGAAAAUUUAAAAAAAAUGUGAAACAGAAAGACUAUCACAUAAUUUAAUAAAUGUAAAAACUACAAGAAUUUAAGUUAAUAAUAUAUUUACGUCAAUAAUACUUAUGUUUCGGGUUGAUAUCUUAAUUCGUUUUGUAAUAAUAGCACUUUUAAAUCAAUUUGGUUAUAGAUUUUAAAAUAAAUUAUACUCAUACUUGGAAGCAAAUUAAAAAAAGGUUAUAAGAUUGCUUGGUGUAUGAAUAAUUGAAAACCAUUUUUUGUUUUUGACAACAAUUGAAAGCCAUUAAGUUUGACCUUUUUAGGCACUUGCUUAAUCGCACGCGCAUUUGAAAACCACCAAAUAAAAUCAACCCCACUUUCUUAAUAUUAUUGUGACUGAUGACGGCUGUAACAUUCUGGUCUUGACCGUCCAGUCCAUUCACUUGAACACGCACAUAAUGCUUUGUUGCCGAUUCACUUAUUUUCAUUAAAACUCAUCAUAUAAAUGAUUUCCCCUCCUUUUUCCUUUACAUCUAAAAGUCUAUGUAGUUUUUCUAGAUGCUUAUGAGUUACGCAAAACGAUCCUCUCCCACACAAAAAAACAAUAAUAUUAAUAUAUGUUUUAAUGUCCAAGUGUUUGAUUAGUGCUGCAGUUUGUAAAUAUGUAAUAAAACUAAUCAGCUUAAUUUUCUGUUUAAACAAGAAGUUUUGUAUAGAAAGACGACUUGGAUUAUAUUUUUGUAAGAAUUCUGAAUUCCUGUCGUUUCAUUCCAUAACAAUAUGUGUUAAUAUGUUCGUGUAUUAUUGACUUGUUGCUUUAUAGUUAUUUAUUUAUUCCCAAGUCAGAUUAUAUUCGUUCGGAAAAUGAACGUGACUCGUAUAUGAGUUGACCUUAUGAAUAUUGUCUAAGGCCUUAUCCAUUAGAUUAAAAGUUCAUUAUACACUUAUUAUUUGUAUUUAGUUUGAUUAUCUCCAAGGCUACAUUAUGAGCUGUUAGCUAGUAUCCUAAGUUAUGAAUAGCUCCAGAAAGGCCUUAUCCUAAGCUAUAUGAACAUUGUGAGCUAAGCUGAACACUUGCUUAGAUGUAACUUGAUCUUGUAUGUUUUCUCUAAAAGACCAAUAGCCAUCUUGUAUGCUUAGUUGAAUUUGUAUUAGGAUCUCUUAGUUGUAAGAGAUCAUAUGUUCAUCAAAUGGUUCUAUCACUACCAUAAGUUCUCUGUAAGGCCUUGUUGUUCUUCUCGCUCUGCUUUCUGCAGCCUGGUUAGUUUCCACAGGAGGCUUAUGUUCUUUGAUAGCAAAGUGAAAACCGUCCAUCUCUUCAUAGUCAUUUGGUAUAUUUGAACUUGUGAGCCAGUAGGCACAUGAGCUUCUCAGCAAGAAGAAGCAUUCUCUUUUCUUUUUUUUUCUCUACUCACCAAUAACAGAUAUUAACUUCCUUCUAUUUACAACUUAAAAUGUUAUAGUCUAUCACAUAUUUUCCCUUUAAACAAAAGAGAGAGGAAUUAUAUAUGUAUAGUUUAUCUAUCAUAUGGGUUCUUAAAAGCAUCAGGUAAAAGCAGGUGAUUUGCAGAUAGGGCAAGAGUUCUUCAAAGACAGCCAUUUCUUUAUGCACCCUCCAUGGUAGUCAUGACCACACCCUUUAAGUUCCCCCAACUCUUCUCCUUCCUUGUAUUCCUCCUAAAUGUUACCGUUACCACACCACCAUUAGACUCUUGGCACAUUUAAAUCUUUGAGACAUGCGAAUCUUACCAGGCAGAUUGCACAUUUUCUUUCCUCAUCCGUUUGAUACAAUGGGUAGAAUAUCGUCUCCAACAAGCAAGUGGAGAUUGCGCCCUUGGAUAGACCAGUGUUAACACUCCCAAUCCUUUCAACAAGAUCAAGAAGGUCCUGGAUAGUGUCAACCAUUUCAAGAUACAUCAGUUGCGAGACAUUUUGUCUGGGGCUUAGAAAAACCAAGAGUUCUGUAAUUAACCUCGUAGGUCAUGUCAUCGAUGUCGAGCCUCAAUUCUCUGUGGUGAUCAUGCAUAUUCCUGGAUCCAUAGUGCUGUUGGUGAUCUACAGCCAUAAAUCCCUGUUUUUGUACAUCCACAACAAAAUAAUAGAAGAAAGUUCAGUCUGCAGCAGAAUAAGAAACAUGAGAGUCUAUGUAGGCAAGUUUCUGAAGUGUUGGUCCCAUCAGUUUAUUGGCAAGUUUGGUAGGGAAAAAAAUUACUACACCUGAGAUGAAAAUGGUUCAUGGAGAGCAACUUCAUCGAAAGGAGGCUGAAACCUCUCAUAGGAACUCCUGCGUCUCCCUGGGCGAUCACUGCUACGCCAUGAGAUGUGUGGUGGUGGCCUCAGAUGCCUAGAAGGAUAUGUCUCAGUGACAAAAGGAGACCUAUCUCCAGAAGAAGAUGCUGAAUGUUCCAAUCGCAAACCGUUUGAAGAAGAUCUAUAGGUGGGUGUUGACCUAUGAGAGAAGCGGGAGCUAGUUGCAGAUUGUGUUGAAGUUCCAGGAAAACCGUGGGAAACUGUAGAGUUUCUGUUUCCGAUUAGCCCUUGGUGAUACCAAGAGGUAUCAACAGAUGUGCUGUUGGCGACACUUCUCGUGGGAAGAAAAUUAUUUGUCUUUGGACUAAAGCCAUUUAAAUCUGCAGGGUGAGAAUUCAUGUGGUUAAAGAACGUAGUCAGUAAAAAUUUGAAUCUCAAGAGAGACCAAAGUGAAAUUUGCAUACCUCUAGGUACUGGGGAGUGUCUAGGAAAGUUCCAGUUCCAGUCCUUAUUCCUGUGAGAUGUUUGACCAGGAAACUGACCUGAGCUAGAGUGAUCAACAUUGUGAUGUGUAGGAUGAGAAUCAAGGUCCAAGCUUCUUGAAAAAAUAUUUCUAUCUACACUAGUCUCUAAAUCAAGUGUAGGACGACUCCGGACAUUCCUUGAAGAACUCUCUCCCCUGAUCGAGAGAUUAUUACUUCUGUAACUUGGGUUCAUGAGCCACGGCAUGUAAUGAGGACCAUGAUCACGAGUUGUUGAUUUUCCCAUGUCCAACUCCGAGGAGAAAGGGAUAUCUGAGGAAGUUCUGCCACCGUGGUAAUGGCUUGAACUACCCAUUUCAUAGACGGAAGAAUCGCAUGGGGUUUUCCGCUUCUGUGCUCCUCUCACAUUUUCCAUAUGUAGAUCAACAUAGCCAUCCAAUGACCAUGUCUGACUGUUGCAGUACGAAGAAGAUGCAGAUGUCACAUAAUGUUCAAGUGGAGCAGAGAAAGUUGCAGCUGCUGAACUCAUGACAGGAACAUGGGUGGGGCCGCUAGUCCCUGGAUUGUAGUGUAGCCUCUCUACACCAUGACCUGAAGCAGUAUACGCAUUUGGUCCUGUAGAAGAGUUCCAGUGCGAAGAAAAUGGCAUUCCUUCAUUCAACACGUUUCCUGCUGGAUUAACAUGCGAUCUGCUCUCACUGGUCCCAGUUCUUGCUGAGAUAACAUAGAGCGAACAAUAAUACGAAUCAGAAAUUCCGGACACGAUUGCACAGGAAAAAGUAGAAUUAUGUAUGUGAUGAUUAUAAAAUGUGGCUUCCUAAUUUUCACUACCUGAGGGUAUCACCUAUCAAGAUUCAUUUUUGCCCCUACUGAAACCCAAUCUACCCAUGAGGGAGAAACUUCUCAACCUAAAAAUACGCAUGCAACAUCAACGCAAUAGCUCUUACACAGGUUGAGUAUAACAUCUAUCCAUGAAGAACGUGUUAAAAAUAUUGAUUUCAACCACAGAAUAAGGAUCUCUAUAGGAAUGGAGAACUAAUUACCUAAACUCGUAUAUGGGUGCUCUGGGUGUAUAUGGUUCCAGCCUUGAUCCUGUUCAUCAUCGAAAAAUUGGAAAGAGCCAGGAAAAUGUCUGUGCCCCAUGAUUACACAAAUCUUCAACCUUGGAGUCCAGCUAACCCUGCACAGAAAGUUCUCUCAACAUUCAGAACUCAUCCAGAAAAAAAUUUGCAAGUCCAUAAAAAUAGUUCUUAAUUACUAAGCAAUCUCAGUUUCAAUUCAAGAAUGGUAUAUAAAGUAACAUCUGCUUUAGCUCAGAAGUACCAAAUGGUUGCUGAAAACGAGUCACCCAUCUAUUUUCAGUUUUAUAGUCACAUUUCAAGACCAAAACUCCAAUUUUUGCAACUGAAGAACCUUAACCAUCGCCAAGUUAAGAAACAAAGUUUCUUCAACCCCACACAUGAGCAUACUCAAGCUGUAAGAAACGAUUUAGAAUAUGCAUAGAGAACACUACACAGUAUUAGGACGGACAUCAACUUCAGGUAUAAAGGAAACUGACAAUGGUAUAUUGAUAGAGAUUCUUUAUCAGAAGAGAGUCCAUAGUUUCAAUACCUAGUAUCAAUAUAGUUGAAAUAUCUAGUCUCAGUUACCUUUGUCACCCGUAUCUAACAUACUAUACCCUCAGAGCUCAGCUCAUGAUAUCAUAAAAACAAGUUUUCGAAGAGUUGGACUGGAAAGUUCCUGAUGCCUUAAGAUGGGAAUAACCUUAACUAGUACAUAUCUAUCAGCUCAUAAGGGUAUCUUGCAAUCAAGAGUUAAUAAAUAAAACAGAAACCUACAUUUUCUCUUUGUGUAAGCCAAAAGAAAAUAAGAGACACAAAACAAGCAAGAGUGUUCUCUAGUACAUUGGCAUAAGAAGUUCAUUUAAACAAGACAUUUACUCAGGUUUAAGAACUUCAUAAAUUUUACAGAAACAGUCCACCGAGAAUAAGGCAAGAAAGAACAGAUACAGAACAGAUAACAUUUGAUAUGACCAUUUCAGCUUCUAUCAACACAUACAGAACAGAUGCAUACUGCUGGCAUGAUCAAGAAAAUUACAUGGAUGAUUCAACAGCAGGAAAUAAGUUUAAUUUUCUGAGCCAAAACCCUCCAACAAUACUACUGCAGGCAAAUUAAACUCCCAACCAAGAAUACACUAAACUACACAAGUGAAAAAGCCAUCAUCCUUUCCUGAUCAACUGAUUCACCAUUUCCACACACCAAAUGUAAUUUCUUCUCUUCAAGUUCAGAAUCAUAACGGGCUUAGUCCACAGAGUGCUGGCCAGCAAAGGCUUACCACCACAUUCUACUAUUCUGAAGCUUUUACUUAGUCAAAACCUGCCAUCCGGCCCAGCACACCUAGAUCUACUCCAAGAGCUAGUAAGCAGAAAUGGGUUGUGUGAAAGGAUGCUUCUAAGCAAUUUGCUUUAUGCUUCAUAGGAUGGUUGUCAUUUCGCAAGAAAUAUUGAAGUUUUUACCUUAAUUCACACUUCAAGCAUCACUGACUAAUUAACACAUUCAGUUAUGAACGUGGAAUCAAAAGAAGGGUGGUGGAAGAACUGGACCAGACAAACUUCACAAAGCCUUGACUACCAUAAACAUAGUUAUCAGCCAUAAAACGUAAAUGAGUAAAAAACUAACCACGCUAAUAGAGUUUGGUUGACUUAUCUUACUUCAAGUUCACGUUGGUUUCUCAAUCAACCAACAAUCUGCCAAAAUAGAAGGAAAACGGCAGCCACCGAUUCUAUGUAUUACAAAGGCUUAGCAUAAGGCACUAACAUCUGCUGACAAAAGUGUUAGAAUAAUACAUUUUCUCUGCUACAAUUUCAAAUUUUCUAUUAUAUUUUUGAGAAAAAAACCAAAAUAGCACUAAAUCAAGUUUUUGUUCCCAAACUAGCACUCAAGGCCAAAAGUCACAAAAAUAGCACUCAAGAGAUGGGGUUUAGGGUUUAGGGUUUAAAGUUUAAGUUUUAGGGUUUAGAGUUGAGAAGUGAGAUUUUGGAGAUAAGAUUUCAAAUUUUGAAAAAUAAAAAAGUUUAAAUUUUUCAAAAGAUAAAAUGCUAUUUUGGUCAUUUAGUUUUUGAGUGCUAUUUUUGUGAUAUAAACUUAGAAAAGUACUAUUUUGGAGAUUUGCCUUAUAUUUUUUCGAUUUUUUUUUUUUUGAUUAUACAAAGUUUCCCUAAAGGCUUCCUAAGGGACUAAUCUGUGUAGCUGCAACCCGAAUGUGAAAUCCGCAGUGGCCGGGAAUCGAACCCAGGUGGCGGUACUCACAGCUGUGAGCCUCUGUGAGCUAAACGCCCCGGUUUAUUUUUUCGAUAUUACUAAAGAGGAAGACGUAUUUGCUGACCUUAAACUAUAUGGACGUUACUAGUUCAAGACUGAGAGAAACCAUCGUUGCCACUAAACCUGCUGGAUACAAAGCCUAGCUAGUUUGAUGCUAAAUAGGAAACUGCUCAAACUAGCUCUAUAUAGCUUAGCCCCGUCGCUGAAGUAGCCUGAACUAAUCACCGAUCUGGUCUCCUCUUCUUCUCAGCAUCCGAAUCUCUAACUACGAUUCAAACAAUCCAAUCACGAAAAGUCACUCAUGUAGCAGACGGAAGCAAACAAUCAUCACGCAAAAGGAAAACAGAUGAUCCGUCGUAACAGCGUUUAAACAAAUCAUUGGUGAAACUGCAAUCGAUUUGAGCAUAUAUAUACAUAUUUACACGAAAACCUCAGAGCUCAAACGAUGAUCGGAGAAGAGAGAAACGUACCGCUAGCAGCGUGCGGAUGAUGGAGAAAGGAGAACGAUCGGAGGAUUCAAAGAGACGACGAACGGAUUCGUAGAGAUGACUCAGCUUGAGGAUUGUGAUCGGUUGAUAUAUUUAAGAGAGAAAGCAAAUGAAAAAAUGAUAAAACAAAACAAUUUAAUUUAAAAGCGAUUGGGUGGGUACGUUGCUGGAAAAUUUAGACCACCACAGCAUCACCGGCUGAUUAAUGGGCGUAGAUUAAUGGGCCUAUAUUUUGACUUUAUAUGGGCCUCCACUGGAUCAGCAACUAUCCCUUCUUCUUUUUUUGUCACCAGCAACUAUAGCAUUGUUCACAUAGUGCAUUAUGUUGCAUCUGACAGAUUAUGAGCAUAUAAUCCUUGAAUCUGCUUUGUAGAAAGCUCUUAGAAAUUUAAUUUUUCCAUUGUCUUUGCACGUGCUGUGAAAUUUUGUGUUAAUUACGCAUAAAGUUUGAUUCGUUAGAUUUAGUCCAAAGUAAACAAUAUGGAUACAUAGUCCACAAUCCCCCUAAAAUGGUUAUUUCUCAGAUUUUGACAGUCUUAAUUUGAAGACAAUUUGGAAGAUGAAGUUGCAGUGAAACACGCAAGCAUUGCAUUGCUUUUUUCUCUUUCUAAAACCAAUGGAAGUACAAGGAAGUGGAGGUGAAUCAAUAACAAUAAACCGUGUGCAUUGCCGAGAUUAUAUAGUUUGUGAUUAUACCAUUUUAAUACAGAGAAGCUGCAAAUACCAAAUUAAACCAACGCAGGUUUGAGGUUCCUACGUCAAGUUCAACCAUUUCAUUUCUAGUGUAAUUUCUCUAUUCAAAACAACUAUAGAAAGGUCCACUAGACAUGGCAGACGAAACAAUACCCCAAUAACAUUGUGGCAUUACGAAAGUAGCAAAGCAAAGCAUAAGAUAAAAUAAAAGCGGCAUUAUAACAAACCAAAACAGACUUGUUCUUGUUCUUAACCGAAACAUAAAAGCUAAAACCUCAAAAGUGAAAAUAACCGAACAAAACACUUAAUCUCAAAUUCCCUUUUUUUUUUAAAUUAAUUAAUUCUCAGGAAUCUCAACCUCACCCUCUUGAAUCUCCUGCUGGAUAUCCUUGGAAUCUCCUGCUGAAUAUCCUUGGGAUCUUUCCCAUCCACAGUACACCCAACAGACACACACGUCCCAAGAAUCUCCCUCACGGUCCCGCUCAGCUCCUUCGCAAUAGACCUCGGCCUCAUGAUCCUCGCGAUCUCAAUCACGUCAUCGAACGAAAUGUUCCCGUUGUGCUUAAUGUUCUUCACCUUCUUCCUGUCCCUCUCCGGCUCCUUCAAGGCCUUGAUCACCAGCGCCGCCGCCGAAGGCACCACCGUCACUUUCGCCUGGCGAUUCUGCACCGUCAGCUUCACCGUGACGCGGAGCCCCUUCCACUCCUUGGCCGUCUCCUUGGCGAUGUCUUCUCCGAUCUUUUUGGGAGCCAGACCGAGGGGACCGAUCUUGGGAGCGAGGGAACUCGCGGCUCCGACUUCUCCGCCGGUCACGCGGACGUAGACGUCCACGAUCUGGCUCGGGUCAAGCUUCGGCGGCAUGGCUGUCUCGGUGGUUAAACGGAGUUUGAUUAGUUUUUUUUUUAAGUGGAGUCCGGAGACGAGGAGGCGGUUGAAGACGAGCUCCAAAGGCUUUUAUUGAGGUCGACACUAGGGUUUACGAAAUGAUGAAUUUACUACCCUUGUAAACAUAUAUGGGCCUUAAGAGAAUGAUCUUAUGGGCUUUAUUUUAGACUAUCGGUUCUUUUACGGUUUAGUAAAUAAUAAAUCCCCGGUUUGAUAGAACCGGUUUACUUCCGUCGCCUCUUUGCUCGGUGAGAAUUGCCUAAAAUAUUUCCUCAGUUUCGGAAAGAAGUAUAUUUUAGUUACCAAUAUAAUUUUAAUAAAUAAAAUUAUGUUUUUUUACUGUUUACGAUUAAUUUAUGCAUUGAAACCGUAAAAAUGUAUUUUUCUUGAAACGGAAUUUUUUUCUAAAAUAUGGAAUUUUUUGAAACGCAUGGCUUUUAUUAUACUAAAAUAGUGAAAGUGACGUCACUUCGUUUAACCGAUAUGAUCAACAACAGAAGCAUAUAGUUUUGACAAUAUACUGGGAAACAUUUACUUUUUGGAACUUUCUGUUAUCUUAUGUGUGUUAUUUAAUUAGUGGGUGGCUAAGGACCAGAAGUUGAGAAAGAAGGAAGGGAACACAGCAAGCCAGCUGAUGAAUGCCAUUGCUGUGGCGGUCUGGAACCUUGUGCAGUGGCUGCCAUCACAUUUAUCAAGAUCGUUGAUGAGUACGGUUAUGCCAGCAGACGCAGAUGCAGCUGCAAACGUAAGUAGGCAUGUGAUCUGCAAGGGAUGAAAAUAGACAAAACAGUCACUUUGUUGCCUUCUUAGAAACUAACUUUAAACAAUAAAGAGAGAUGUUGAUUUCGUUCUUACUCCAUCUCCAACUGUGAAACAUCGAACAACCAAGUGAUUCCGAAGGCUUCUUCCCACCAGAAGAGCAUAAGCAUCGAUGAUAAAAAGAGACAAGCUCCACAGGCUUUGCAAGCUAACCGCAAAAACCAAACCACUGUCACAGUUUAUAGAUAUGUUUUGUCAGAUUCAUAUUUUUCCGUAAACCUUAGGUCUAAGAGUUGGAUUUUACUAGAAUGCGGUGAAGGAGUGGAAGUCGGGGGUGGUGAGCAUGACGGAGAGGGAGAUGAGAGAGGAGACGAACUGAGAGAGGCGGAGGAUGAGGCCGCCGGUGGUUCCUGGCAUGCCCUGAAUAUCUUUCAUCCUCACUGGCGGUCUAUCGUUGGCUCCGCCAGUAGGACCCACGGGGACAGCAAUUACCGGACGAACCGCCGGUCGGCUCACGUUCAUCAUGUGAAAGUGAGUCACUCUGAUAACACACACACAAAUGAGGAACUAACUCGACUGAGUUUGCUAAACUAAUUUCCUAAAGACAAAGACUUAUUCAACUAACUGAAUCUCUAACACAUGUAGGACUUUCGAACGUUUACCGCAAAAGUUCAAACAGACCCACCUUGUAAGACACGAAACUGCUACUUUGGCUGUCUGAAAAAUGGAAUUAGUGUGGAUUUUUUUUUUGGUCCACGAGUUAAUUAGUUAAUGUGAUGUGUUUUGACAGAAUCGACCCAAAACAUAGUAUUUAAUGUUCCUAACUUUUGAUAUCUAUUGACUUAGAGUAACCGACUUUGAAAGUUAGUAUAAAACAACUGUAGAAACUUUUAAUGUGGCUUACUAGAUUUUUGGUGCUAUUCUAAAGUAUUUAUGUUUUUAUAUUAUUUAUUUCAAAUAUGUUAGACAUAAUAUUAUAACUUAUUAGUACUAUUUUCGACAGUUUAUGUUAUUACUUUUGAAACAGAUUAUAUUUAAAUUAGUAGUAUAUAUUAAGCUAGAAAAACACUCGAAAUUUAUUUGAACACUUAAAAUAAAACUAUAUUUUUUGUUUCUUAUUCUUUUCCUGUGUUUAUUUGUGUUGUAGUAUUGAUAAUUGACUAAAUAAAUACAAACAAGAAAAUGUGAAACUUUUGUUGGUUACAGAACAGAGUUGAUGAUCUUACAGAGAAUUAAAGACAUUUAGUUUGGGGUUAAAAAGACAGUUCUAAUCAUUUACAACAAAGAACUUCCACCGAACUGGAAAUUGUUUUUACUUUACCCCAACUAAUCGGGAUCUAUUCCUUCCAUUUUUAGUAAGAUUAAUAAAAUCGUGAAAAUCUGACAUUUUCAUAUCUAUAUAUAAAAUCUUUAAAUAGUUAUCUAGAUAUAUUUAAAGUUAUCUAGAUUUUUUUUUUUUGAAAAAGUUAUCUAGAUAUAUUAGAUCUUGAUAAUAAUCAUUCUCCAGCCCUUUCCAUCUCCCAGCAGAGCUUAGACGCAACACUUUCAUGGGAAGGUGCAUAUUCCUGCAAAAUGACAACAACAACGUUUGAGAUUAUGUAGAGACCCAGAAACAAUUCAUUUUCUUCAAUUUACCUCAAGCUUCUUCACAAGCUCUUUAGCAGUAGGUUCAGAGACUAUGAUCUCACGAGCAGUCGGGCUGAUGAAUCCUUCUUCAACGGCUUUAUCGAUGAAUGAAAGCAGCGAGUUGUAGUAUCCAUCAACGUUGAGUAAACCCACCUGCAGAAAGUUUGUUUUAGUGAUUUUGGAUUCUUGAAUUUUUCCAUUUGAAGUAAGAAUAUUAGGGAGGUUUUUUUUUACAGGCUUGUCAUGAAUUCCAAGCUGAGCCCAAGUUAUGACCUCAAGCAAUUCUUCAAGUGUUCCAUAGCCUCCUACAAUUAUCGCACAAAAUUUUAGAUUUGAUUUGUCAAAAGAGAGCAGGUUAAUCUGUUACUAUGAUAUGGUCAAAUCAGUAGGUGUGUCAUGUACAAUACAAAACCAAAUAAUAGAGUCCUCUCCUCUCUGUUACUGUUUUGUACAUUGGUACUGACUAUGAUUACAAAAGCAGGAUCUUGACUUUCCAUUAAUGAUUUCAGAUUAAGUGUGGGCCAAAAAAUGCCAUUUGUGGGACUGUUUCAAGUUUUGUCUCUUAACUUGAAAAGGGCAAAGAAAAAAAGUUUGGUCAGAGUAAGACUACACAAGCUAUAGAGAGAGUACCCCCUAAGUUAAAAACAAAGCAGAGCAAUAACCAGAGUAAAAGAAAAGGAAAAAGGUAUAAUUCUAAGUGCCAGAUGUUGAUGGUUAAGGCCUUUUAUCUUACACUCUGGUGACUUUAAAUAUUUAGAUUUUUUUCAUUUCAAAGAAUAAUUAAAAAUAAAAAACUUUUCACAGCAGCUUUCACACUGCAGCUUGACCAAAACAUAAUGUUUUUUUUUGUGUAACUAAGAAAUCAUGUUUUUACCAAACUCUUUUCUUCUCUUUUUUUACAAAAUCAGUCCAGAAAAACAAACUUUUUCCUUUACAUGAACAAACCCUACUUUGAAACUUUGAUUACCCAUUCAAAUUGUUUUAAGAGGCUAUUCUUAAAAUUCUUUGCGUCACUAGGGUUUUGACAAGUUUUCGUAUGUUAUCAUUACUUACAUUGAAAGAACAGCAAAAUUUUGAGGUUUAGAAAUGUUUUUUGAGAAAGAAAACAUUUGAUUGAAAAUUUGGGUGGAUUGGGUUUAAAACAAAACCUGGUAAGGCAAUAAAAGCAUCAGAGUGCUUGGCCAUUUCAGCUUUCCUUUGGUGCAUAUCUGCAACUGCUCUUACUUCUCCUACUGUUUCACCAGUCAACUGCAAAAAACAAUGAUCAUCCACCAUUUUAAAAUAAAUAAAAGGAUGUUAAUUAAAAGUAGUUAAAGGGCAAAAGCAACUUUGGGCUCUUCUACAGGCAAACGCAAUGAUGUCACCGCAAGUAGUCGUAAUGUUUGGAUGUUUUUGAAAUCUCCUACAGAACCCUAACAUCUAGUUAACCUCUUUCUAAUCAUUUUCUUCAUAUAUCUUUUAUUCAGAUUACGGUAACCAAAUGAGGAUAUUUAUAUUUUAGGACACCUAAACUACUCGCAAUCAUGAGAUUUAAGAAAAGGUAACAAACAGGGAGAAGAGUAAAACCUAAGCAAACACCGAAGAUUAAAAUGGUUUUGAAUGGGAAUUUGGAGAACUUAAAAGAGAAAUUAAAUUAACAAAGAACAAUGUUUUAUUUUGAAAUUUUCUUCUUUGAAAAGUUCAUACCUCUCUAGGCAUGAGGGUCUUUGGAAUUAUUCUGCAGAGUGACAACAAAAGGACAAAGUUGGGUUUUAUUAGAAAUAUUCAGCAAUAUAAUCCAACACUUGUGUUCCAUCAGAAUCUCAAAAGACAGUUUUCUUUUGUAUGAUCUGAAGCUUACAAAGUUGUCAAAUAGUUUAAAGUUAUUUGACUAAGAAAAAGUUACCCAAUAACAUGACGACCACCAUUAUGAACAGCUUGUGAAACCAAACCCAUCAAGCCUAUGCUCCCACCUCCAUAGACUAGAUCAAUUUUCCUUGAGACCUGCAGAACAAAAAAAAAAACAGAGUUACACUUUUUUUUUUUUUUUUGUCACAAAAACAGAGUUACACAUUAGCCUAAACUUGAUGAUAAGUAGAGCAAAAAUCGUGUAACAAACCAGAACCAGAAUAUUCUGAAGUUAUACCAUCUGGCACGUUUCAAAGAAGAAAUAAAUGAAGCAAAGAUGCACAUCAUCUUAUCUCAAAACCAACCAGCAUAAUCAAAGACAUAAAUACGUUAAAAGUCAUGUAUGUGUUACCAGUUCGUUGCCGAGAUCUACAGCAGCAUCUUGGUAACUACUCUUCUUGCCUUGGCUGCUUCCACAGAAGACACAUAUUCUUUUGAACUUUGACUUUUGCAUCGUUUCAGCUUUGAUCUCCAUUGAAUAUGAUCCUAAACUUAUGAUAAAAUAUAAAACUUCUCCAGAAAGAGAAAAGGUAAACAAUUUUAAGGUUUCUUUCAGCACAAGAAUCUAAUUUCGCAAGACAGUUAUGAGUGACAAAGAAACCUAACUAAAUCUGAAAAAAUAAUUUAUUUUGGGAGUUGUUUUUAUCCUCACCACUAAUGUUUCCUGGCUCAAGGGUUGUUGUUAUAUAUAUAGUGCGUCAUCGAUUUAAGCUUACUUAUUUUAAAUUACAUUCUUUUUGAUGUUUACUAAAGCUAGCAGCCUAGCACAACAUUUAAUAAUACAAAUUUAGAAAAAAAAAUAGAAGGCUUUCGUUAAAAAGUUUAUUUUUUUGUUUGUUUGAAUACUUCAUUUCUGUUUUAUUCCCCAUAAAAAAAAUAUUUUUGACCAAAAUCUUAUAAAUCGUUGAUUUGAAUAUUUAAUAAAAAUCGAUAUUUUUUAGAUUUAUGUUGAGGUCUUUACACGGGAGAAAUUAAAGCACGCGUCUUUCACUACCCGCGCGGCACGCGUGACCGAAUUCUUCUUUGUGUUAAUUUUCCCUUACUAUAAAAUCACGUACAACAAUGAUAGACUAGUACCAUAAACCUUAUUUAUGGUCGUAAAUAACAAUUUUUUUUGUUACUUGAGAGGAAUUUGGAUCAAACCGUAAUCUCCGCUUAAACCUGAAACCAUGUGUCCAUGCAUUGAUAAUAGUUUAUGACAUGGCGUAGAACAUUUCUUUCCAUAUAAAUGACAAUUCUUCGUAAUGGACUUUAUGGUUAGACUCACAAUCACCCAACUAGAUAGAAAUGCCAUGUUAAUGCAGGCUAUAUCUCACAAGGAAUUAUUAUCAGUUGUGUUCUUUGUUGUUAAAGAUCAUAUAUAUCGUGUUUAGACUUCAUAACCCCCUCUUAUGAUUUCGUAAAGAAAGCUCUCAGUGAUUAAAAAAAAACUGAUUCAGUAAAGCUUCGUCAUUUUUCGUUCUUAAUCAAGAAUAGGAAAAAUAAUUAAUUUUCUAUAUAAAAAUAAGAAAAAUGGACAGCAUAUGUGGACAGUGUAAGAUGGGUACAAACGUUAUUAACUGAUACUCUUGAAAAACAAAUAGAGAAAGGGAAAAUAAAUAACCAAAAAUAACCAAGACAAAGGCCACACUAAUAUUCUAAUGGAACCAUGUAGAUGUCAUGGAUAAACCAAUGAGAUAUAUACACACUCACUUAUCUAAAGAGAUAUAUAGAAUGAAUAAGUUAAUGAGAUGAUGAUGUCUGGGAUAUGGAGCAAUGUGCCAUUGAUGAUUGACAUAAGAAAACAAAGUGAUGGCUUAUGUUACCAGUGUAGCCUAAUUCACCCUCCCUAUGUAGACAACCUUCUUCUUGUUCUUUGCAUAGAAAACGUUUCUUCUAUUUUUAUUCCCCUAUAUUCAUUUUCACCAUCCUAAGCUAUAGUAUGGAGUUGUGAUAUAAAAUUCUUUUAAUUUUUUUAGACUAUUAUUUUUGUCUUUCUCUUUCAGAAUAAAGUAAUCAUUAAAUCAUCGUUGAAUUAUUUAAAGUUAUGAAUUCAGAAACAUAUGCAAAUUAUCGCCUUGUGAAAGAAUGAAAAAUAAAAUUUCUUGUUACACUUCCCAUUUCAGGAGAACCUUUUAUAUAAUCUUGAUUUAUUGAAAAAUCAAAAAUUUAAAACCGAAAGCUGAGAGCUAAAACUAAUAAGAAAAAAAAAACACUAGUUUCGUUAAGACUCUAUCGUAACCCUAUUGACAUGUUGGCUUGGAAUACCAGGAACCUCCCCAACACUCUUAUACUUAACUGUAAGCAAACACUUACAAUAUACUUCAGAUCAUAUAUAUUUGUUUAUAACAUGUGUAUAUAGCGUAUGAGUAUUUAAAUAAGAAAAUAAAAUAAUUACAAUCCCAAGAUCUGAGUAGAUGCAACCCAUUCCUUCUAUAAACAAAUAAGUAAGUUUGUAAAAUAGUUUGUAUUAGUAUAUCUGCAUGCUUGCAUGCGCAUUUUUCUCUUGUUUUUCUUUUUCAUCUCUAGUUUCACUUCACAUUCUUCUUGGGUUUUUCACUUCCGACCCAAUUUUUAUUUUAUUAUAAUAACCAUGACGAUGGUAGUGAUACCACAAUUUAAUCAGAUAAUACUUUCAUGCAGUCCAAUUUGAAAGUGUUAAAUAUUUGAAAAUGAGCACAAGAGGUUUUAUAACUCGAAUCUUUUUAUAGUCUGUACAGAAAAAAAAAACAAAAAGACAAUUUUAAAGGUGGACGUUUGAAGAACAAAUUAUCCUUUUUACAAAAGGUUAAUAUCUGUCUCCAAUCGAUUUUGACAUGAUUUCAAAGACAUAUAGUGACAUAGCAUUAACGAACAUCUAACGGAAUCCUAAAUCACUUUAACUAAAAGAAGUUCAUAAAGAAAGAAAAAGUAUUAAGUUAGUCAUACAACUAGUUCAUUCUGUUCAUAAAGGGGUUCUAAGUAUUUAUAAAUAUCAAUUUUUCUUGGAGUGGUUCUCAACCUUUUCAAACAGGUCAACAUUUUUUACUUCCUUUUAUAAAAGGUUUUUGUUAAAUUAAGAAAAGUUCUUUCGAAAGAUGAAACUUGAAUCCUUUAUAUAUUUACUUAUCAGUUAAAGAAGUUCAUUCAUAUUAGACCCAAUACAAUUUUGUUCAUAAAGGGGUUCUAAUUAAGUAUUUAUAAUUAUCAAUUUCUAUGCAGACAUAGGAAAGGCUCCGCGCUUUCUAAUAAAUAUAUAUAUGGGUUAUUAUAUAUCCAUGCCUGACAAAAAGAAAAUGCUUAAUUUGAUUUAAUUUAAGAUUAAGGAGAUGAAGAUGAAAAAAUUAUUAACCCAUAUUAUUUUUUCAUUUAAGCUCUGGCUGUAAAAAAGCUGAACAACUUUUACCAUAUUAUUUUUUUCCGAAGUAUAUUAAAAAGAAGACAAUAUAUUUAUUCACUGUUUUAGGUUUUGUUCCAAGCUAUCACCACUAUUUUGUCAGUAGUACCAUAGAUUCAUGAUUAAAAAUGACUCAAAACCUUUCUUAAUAAAUAAAUUUUAAACCUUAAAUGAAAAACUUAAGCCAAACAUAGUAUCUCAAUAUUGUCUAUAAUUUCUUAAAAUAAAGGAUAAUAUCCUCACACAGUUUUUUGUAGUAGUGUUAAAAAGAACAGUAAUAGUAUAUUCGGAAUAAAAACCUUUUAAAUAUAGCAUCUACGGUAUUUUUUUAGCUUUUAUGAACUAUUUUAAUGAUUUAUUCUUGUUUUUGUUGUUGGUAAACAAAUAUUUUGAGAUGAUUUGUGUAUUGGAUGCAAACGGCAUAUUUAAAUUAAGGAAAUGCUAAUUGGGAGGCAGGAUAAAAUUCUUAUUAAUGUCCAUCGAAUUUUUUUUAUUAAAAAUGUUUGAAUAUGUAAUGUGCAUUGGAGUUAACUAUGACAUAUUCUUAUUACGGGUUGGUUUUGUCGUUGAAACAAACAAGAACGUUAUAUUAAGUUCAAAAAACAAACAAGAUGUUAUGGAGUCACACAACACUAUUUCGUACAGAAAUGAUACCUCUAGUUUUUAAAUGUAAUUUUUUUCCUACAAUUUUGACAUCUUUUAAAAGGAUAGUCCACGUAUGAGACUAUGUUAUGAUUGCAUGGGUAAAUACUUUAAUGUACAAGACGUGAAACUUAAUGCAAAACUAUCAAUAAAGGUCGAUAUGAUUCUUUAAACCAAAAAAAGUUCGAUAUGAUUCCGACAAUAUUUUAGAUUUAUGACUUUGAAACCCAAAAGGAACAGACAUUUACCACUUUGAACCGAAAAUAGAACCCCCAAACUUGUUUUUUUCCUCAACGGACCAACGUUAAAUCCACAAAUUAAGGAAUUGAAGAAAAGAGGAGACAAAAAAACAAGAAAGGAAAAGGGAAGAACAUGGAUUUGUAAAUGGUGAAAAGAGGGACAGUCAAAGGUCAGAGAGGGACAAAUCAUUUGUUUAGUAGUUAUCAUAAAGUGUCGGACAGUUAAUACCGUUACUUACGAGUCAAAUGUCUCUAUUACGUUUUCACUUAUCACUAGUUAGUGGUAACUUACUUAAAUUACUUUUUCAAAAAAAAAAAAACUUACUUAAAUUACCCUCCCAUCAAUCGAUUUAUAUUUUCAAAAUUUCUGUAUUGUGAAAAAGCCAUGCAUUGUUGACGCAAUUUUUUGUUGUUGUUACUUGUCAACUAUUGAUACGUACUACUAACCAUGUUAUGUAUACAAUGCAUCUUUACAUAAACCUCUUUCAGUAGACUAAAUUCACAUUCAAAUCUUUUGAGUUAAACAUGUUUAAAUUGGAAAAUAUUGAGAAAUAAUAACAAUAAAUAUUUAUUGCCCUUUUCAAAAAUAAAAAUAAAGAUUUAUGGUUUUUAGUAAUUACUUGAACUAAAUUUGUUAAAACUUACAUAUACUUACUACUUAGGCAGAUAAAUGACAACUUUUAAAACAGUUAAAGGACAACUUUACGUAUACAGCAUGUAUGUAAGGAGUUUAUGAAGACAAAAGGAGGAAAGAAUCUAACUUAUAGCAAGAAGAGUGGUGAACGUAAGAUGGAGAGAGUGAACAGUCAAAAUACAUUCAUUCAUUCCUUUGUUUUUUUUUCUCUUUUAGAAAUUAAAAUUUAUGUCGUUUGUUUUUGGGACAUUACCUACGUUCAUUUCAACUCUUUCAACCUUUCGGUCAUCUCUAUACGAAUAUACCCCCAUUUGUUUUACAUUUUUAUUUUCUUUUAAAAUUUAUGAAGUUACAUUGGCGCCUACAAUUCAAAAGAUUUAGUUUGACUGGUUUACACCAUGUGAAUCCCAUAGGAUAAAUUAUAAAUAAUUCAUAUGGUUUCUGACGUAUGCGUUAUACAUACCUAUAUUGCAUGUUAAAUAAUGCCCUUUUCUGAGAUGGUGAAUAGAUAGAUAUGUCGAAUUUUUAGUAUAUGAAGUUGAAAUUAUAAGAAAUAUCCUAAAAGUAUUUGCAUCGACAUUCAUUUGCUAAGGAAAAAGGUUAAAAAUGUCUUCAAAAAAGGGUAAUGGACGUUUAAUAUAGGAUUAAGUAGCAAAGGAGCAAACAUGGAACAUGUUCAUCUCCUAUGAAUGAGGUGAAUAAGUCAAAAAAAGAAGAAGAAUAAGUCAAAGUAGGUCUAGUUGCUGGACCGGUUCUAAGGACAACCGGAUAAAAAUCCAUCUUAAUCCCAAUUUUUUUUAAAACUAAGAACUAUUAUACGUAGACCACAUGGUCCAUAUACUAUCCAUAACUUUUUAGUAAGAUAAACCUGAUAAUGUUUGCCAAAGCUCCUUUAGAUUAAUGUUUGACAAAGUGGUCACUAAUGGUUAUACAUCAUGAAGUCUAAGUUCUGAAUCUUAUAGAAGGCAAAAUUGUGCUGGAGAUUUUUUUUAUAAAAGAUGGAGCAAAAAAUACCAUAAAACGUAGAUCUUAUAAGUCGGUUCAAAGUGAUGCAGUAAAAUGUAAAUUCUUAUAAAAAAUAGAAUCAUCAAUUAUAUAAUCGUUAUAAUAUUUUCAUGGUUUGCAAUAGCAUAGCUAUUCAACGUUAAGAAAAACCAAAUAAUGUUUUUUGGCCAUAAAUUUUCGAUCCGGCUUUGUUGCGCUGUCCACGUACAAAACUAUGGCAUAUAUAAUUCACGAGGUUUGAAAUAGUGUUCCUUUUAUUUGUUUAGUUAGUUCUCAAUAUUUUUCUUUCAAAUGAAUGACAAGAGAAAUCGUAUGAGACGAAUAUGAGAGAUAGGUUAAGAAUCAGGAUGUUUUCGUUCACAGUAUAUAUAAGAAAUUAUUAUAAGAGAUUGUAGCUUAUGGAACAACAUUAAGGGUAUGACUGGUUUCCUCGCUGCCACACGCAUGCGGUUGGUAGCGGUUAUUGGCGUUUUGCAACAAUCACUCAAACCGCUCUAAAUCGUUUCAAACCUCAUAAACUCAAAACUGGCUUCAGCUAGCGUUUGCGGUUACGGGAGGAUAAUUUUUUUCAAAACAAUAUAAACAUAAAAAUAAAAAAUUCAAUAAAAAUUUUAAAUUGGAAUUAUAAAAAUACUAAAAUAUAUCUAUUUUAUAUUUUAAUUAAUAUUAUAAAAUUUAACUUUUAAAAUAUAAUUUUUAUAUUUAUUAUAAUAUUAUAAUUUUUUAUAUUUUUAUAAUUAUAUAAAAUAUAAAUAUUGUUAAUUUAUUAUUUAACUGUUGUUGCAUCUGAUAGUUAAUCAGUCAUAAGUAUCCUGCAAAUGCACCAAUUUCUAACUAUAGAACCAGUCGUACAAAUCUCUUAAAACCGCUAGAACUGUAACCAUCCGCAUCAGCAAACUCCUGCGACCGCAACCGCAACCGAUACAUUUAAACAAGUCAGGCCCUAAGACGAUAACGUUUGUGGGCAGCAUCAUUAGCAAAGAGAACUACGUCUAUUAGCAUUAGAAACAAGUGAUGCUCUUCAUCAUCAUCAUCAUCAUAAACUACUUCCAAAGUGUUAUUACACGUAUGUGGUAUGCCGUAUAUAUAUGCAUAUACAGUUCUUUAUAGUAACCUACAUAUAUAUGUAGGUGUAGCCAUCGCAAUAUCUAGGUGUAUUGUAUAUUAGGGUAUAACAACGAACUUAGUAGAGUAGUAUGAAAUUACCUUAAACUUGGUUUAGUUUGGUUGAAACGCGUAAUUAAUAUCUUAGUAUGAAACUAAGAGUAUACACUUUAAGCAAAUAACUAGAUUUUGAUCCGCGCUUUUAAAGCGCGGAUUUAUUUUUUUAUUUUUUAAUUGACAAAUAUUUAGUAAAUGUCGUAUUUUUAUAUAUUUGUCUUUUAUUUUUAUGAAUGCUUAAAUUAUAUUAAGAAAAUAAAAAAAUAAUAAUUAAGAAUAGUUGAAAAAAAAUUAUUUUAACUUGGACUCAAUGGUCCAAAUGAAAAAAAAAAAGUGAGAAUUGAAUCUGAUUUUUUAAUAGGUCCAAAUGGCCCAAGAGAGAUUUGAUUUGGGCUGGAUCCAAAAAUAAUGAUCCAAUAUAGAUUUGUUAUUAAUAUUACUUAAUUGCCCUUAAUGAAACAUGCAAUGUUAGUGAAGAAAACAUACCCCUAAGGUAAUUAUGACAAUAGGAUCCUGCUUUAAUAAUAUAGAUUGAUUUCUCUUGAACCAACUUGCACUCAAUUUGCUCAUUCAACUGCGUAUUGUAUUUGAUUCAAAUAGAUUGCUGUGAUUUUGGUGUUUUACGUGGUUAUCAAAUGUGUUCAUACUCAUAAGCGCAGAAGAUCAGAAAGCAAUAAACAAGACAGAGAAGAUUGAAUCAAAAUAAAGCGAAGCAGUUAAUGACAGCAUUCAGACAGACAAGAACAUGGUCUUCCUUACAAAUCUUAACUCUAUAUGUUUUUCAAACAAAAGACCAUCCGUGCAUCCAAGGCACAACAACACAUAGCUUAGUACGGUCCACCGAAACUGCCAUCCUCUCACAAAAACUGCUUCAAAGCGCCUGUUACAAUUUCCUUUACUCAGAUAAAUCAGUCUAUGAAGUGGUUAAUGCCCAAAAGACCCAUCUAUAAGAACAAUAGUAUAAGUCAUACCUCUCCAGAGAAUAGGAAGCCAUAGAUUGGUGCUCAAAACUGGCGCCUUGGAGGCCUAGCCUCAGCUUCAGACACUCUAAUCUGCCUCCCGUCCAAAUCCUACAACAGGGUACAAAGUAUAAGCACAUCAAGAAUAGUUUCAUUGAUCAAACUGUCGGAAUAAAAAAGAUACUUACAGCACCAUCCAAUGUUCUGAUGGCAUUCUGAACCUCUUGAGCAGAGUUGUAAGUCACAAACCCAAAACCUUUCGACCUACCACUGUCCCUGUCGUAGAUGACUCUAGCCUCAACAACCUUCCCUUGCUCCCCGAACAAACUCUCGAGCGCCAUGUCGUCAACACCCCACGAGAGGUUACCAACAUAAACACGGUUCCCUGAACCAGCACCACCACCACCACCUCCACCAUAUCCUCCACCAGAGCUUCCAAAGCUGCUUCUAGGUCCUCUUGAGAAGGAGUCUUCCCUCUUCGGUGGAGGAGGACCCGCGUUAACUCUCAACGGUCUACCAUCCAACUCCUGCAAACAAAACCCAAUAAGAACAACAAAACAACACAAAGGUUCCAACUUUUUGUCUUUAGCAACCACAAGUUUUUGUCUUUAGCAACACAAAGGUUCCGACAUAAGGUAGAGAAGUAAGUAUGUUCUUACAUAGCCAUUGAACAACACAAAGGUUCCAACUUUUUGUCUUUAAACGCAUACUUACAUAGCCAUUGAACUGCUGUUCAGCUGUCUCAACUUCAGAAGCUGAAGACAUAGUCACAAACCCAAAACCUCUGCUUCUCCCUGUCACCUUGUCAUAGAUAACCUAAACAAAGACAACAAAACGAACAAUCACUAAAACCAAUCUCAAACAACAACAACAACAACAACAAAAAAGAUUCAAUCUUUAUCUCAUUUCUCGAAAACCCAUAACUCAAUUUUGAGUUUUUGACUCGUUACCUCAACCAUCUCGACGUUUCCGGCGCUCUCGAAGAGCUGAGCGAGCUGAGCGCUGUCGACGUUAAAGGGGAGGUUACCGACGAAGAGCUUGAGGUCAGAAGAGAAGGAUUGCUCCCGCCGCGGGGGAGGAGGAGCGUCGUCGUCAGCGAAGAUGCCGUCUUCUUCGACUGAGAAGUCGUCAGUAACCGCGACGUUACGGACGAAGCGAGAGGAAGCGGCGGAGAUGGAGAGGGAGAGGGAGGCGGAGAGGGAGUGGAGAUUGAAGGAGAGGGAAGGAGGUAGGAGGGAAACGGAGGCGGGUCUGGAGAUGGAGAAAGGAAGGGACUUGGGGGUGAAAGUGGAGAGAGCGAGAGAGGAAGCUGAAGCAGCCAUGGUGAAGAGAUGAGAAGAGAUAAGGUUUGUUUUUAGCUUUAGGGGUUUUUGAGAGUGGAGAUAAGAUGGUGUGUUUCUGAUAUUUAUGGGCCAAAUGGGAAUAAAUAUCUUUGCACAAAAUAUCUCAUUCUGAUUUUUAUUUACAAAUUUUGCCUCAAAACUUUAUUUGAUUGCUAAAUAUUCUGCUGCUAAUAAAAUUUGUCAAAUUUCAAUGAAUUUAUCUUAACGUCAUCUCUGAAAAAAAGUAUGUAUUUAAAAAAAAUAUAGGUUUUCAUAAAUUUGUAGACAAUUUCUUUAGAAAAUCUUAAUUUUCAAAAUAUUUUGUAUUUUUCUCACUUUAGUGGUGUUAGUUAUCUUUUUAUUGGAAGUCUCUACUUACUACUUGUCAUACGCUGAAGUGAGAUGACAGAUGAGAUGAGAUCUAAGCCGUAGAGUUUUGGAUGGACAGUGGAGAUGGCACGUCUCAUGCCAAAACCAAAAGAAAAAAUCUAUAAGAUAGGAUUUUUUAACUAAAAGCCAAUGGAAGUAGCAACUCUCGUUCCAGCACAGAUCUUUAACUCCAAUAAAUUCAGAAAACAAUACAGUUCCUCUAAAGAAAACCAUUGAAUCAUACAAAGGUUGCUCCCUUCAAAACAAGUUAAUAAGAAAUGAUGUAUUUGGAUAACAACAGAAGACUGAAGUUCUUGAACUGCAACACGCUUUUAGGAUCUCUUCAAUUGGAGGGUCAUCUCGAGCUUCUUUGUCCUGAAAUGUUCCAACAAACAAGUUGUUGAGUACGAGAUUGUGAUUAAUUUAUCUCUUUGAUUACAUUGACAUGGUGUAAACACAAGUAUUUGAUCAAAACGUGUUACCUGGUCCAUACUCCCCGGUCCGAUCAAAACAAGAGAAACACCAGAUGCAUCCAUCACAUGCUAAGAAAACCUCAAAUGUAUCACUUAAUGAAAUGACCAAACCAUCAUCAAGAUUUUGACAGUGGGGUGAAUCAUUUUACCUUCUUUUACGACAAGCAAGCUUUAAUACCCAACAUAGUAGUAGUAACCAAACACAUUCACCAAAUCUAAUAAGAAACUUCUCCAAAAAGAUUUAACCACCCAAAAUGACGAGCAAAUGCAACAACAGCCUUCCUAUCCUUCCACAAAAUCAGAAAUCAACAGUCUCUCUCCCUGUUCCAGUUCCUGUGAAGAAGAACCGAUUCAAUCUAGUUUAUAAUCUUUUCAGCUUCUCCAAAACAGAACAGAUUCUAAAACUUACCUGAAGCGCCGGUAAUGGCCGACACUGCCACCACGUUACGCCGGAGAGAAAAAUCUACUGGAGAUGAGAACUGGCCAAAGAACCAAACUUUACUGUCCCGUAAACCCAUGAAUCGUUUUUCAUCUUCUGAUUCAGCGUAACGGGAGUGAUCGUCGACGAAGACGGCGAUGAGAGAGAAACCGCCAUUGUUGUUUUUACUCCGGGAAAGCCGAAAGAAAUAAGAAAAAUCCUAACUUUAACGUUUUAGUUAGAAAAAAAAAAUCAAAUUAAAAAAAAUCAAACUUUAAGUUAUUACACGUUGUAUAGAUGACGUAAGCAUUGUCCGAAACAGAAAAAAGUCAAACGCCACGUAAGCUCAGUAAGAGUAAAAUUUUUUGGAAAAGGUAGAUCUUUUUUAAAAGCGAACUAGAUUUUGAUCCGCACAUCCGUGCGGGUAUUCGUUUAAACUUUUAAAAACAUACAAUAGAUAUUUACAUAAAAUUGUUAUAUUAGCGUUUUAUACCAGCUCAAAUAAGAUAAGCUUUUAGCACAUAUAUAAUUAUUAGUAAUACUAUAAGUAAGUAAUUAUUUGAGGUUUAUUUAUUUUAUGUUAUUCAUGUACAUUAAUAUUUAAAAUUUUAAAAAUAGUUAUUAUAUAUAAUAUAAAUGGACUACUUAGUUUUGGAAAGGAAAAAAAUUGAUAUUUUUUAAUAUUUAUGGAAUGGUAAAAACUAUUUUAUAUUGAUUUUAUAUCAUAUCAUUCGUAUUAAUAUAUAUAUGUACAGUUCACAACAGGUAAAAUUAAUUAAUUUUUAACUUUAAGAAAGAUUUUGUUAAGAUAUAUUAUCAUUUGAAACAAUAAUUAAUAUUUCCAUAUAUAAAAGUAAUUGAUGGUAUAUUUUUAAGGAAGAUUUUGUUAAGUUUAACUAAUAUAGUGCUCUUUUGCGAAAUAGACACUUUUUAUUAAUAAUAUUUUAUACGUACAAUCAUAUAAAUAAUCACAUAUAUUAUAUUUUAAAAUUUAAUGUGAAAUAUAAAAGCUAUAAUUUAAGUUGGUGUUUGAAAUUGGGCUUUGUAUUGCAUUUUUUUUGUAGAGUUUUGGAUGGACAGUGGAGAUGGCACGUCUCAUGCCAAAACCAAAAGAAAAAAUCUAUAAGAUAGGAUUUUUUAACUAAAAGCCAAUGGAAGUAGCAACUCUCGUUCCAGCACAGAUCUUUAACUCCAAUAAAUUCAGAAAACAAUACAGUUCCUCUAAAGAAAACCAUUGAAUCAUACAAAGGUUGCUCCCUUCAAAACAAGUUAAUAAGAAAUGAUGUAUUUGGAUAACAACAGAAGACUGAAGUUCUUGAACUGCAACACGCUUUUAGGAUCUCUUCAAUUGGAGGGUCAUCUCGAGCUUCUUUGUCCUGAAAUGUUCCAACAAACAAGUUGUUGAGUACGAGAUUGUGAUUAAUUUAUCUCUUUGAUUACAUUGACAUGGUGUAAACACAAGUAUUUGAUCAAAACGUGUUACCUGGUCCAUACUCCCCGGUCCGAUCAAAACAAGAGAAACACCAGAUGCAUCCAUCACAUGCUAAGAAAACCUCAAAUGUAUCACUUAAUGAAAUGACCAAACCAUCAUCAAGAUUUUGACAGUGGGGUGAAUCAUUUUACCUUCUUUUACGACAAGCAAGCUUUAAUACCCAACAUAGUAGUAGUAACCAAACACAUUCACCAAAUCUAAUAAGAAACUUCUCCAAAAAGAUUUAACCACCCAAAAUGACGAGCAAAUGCAACAACAGCCUUCCUAUCCUUCCACAAAAUCAGAAAUCAACAGUCUCUCUCCCUGUUCCAGUUCCUGUGAAGAAGAACCGAUUCAAUCUAGUUUAUAAUCUUUUCAGCUUCUCCAAAACAGAACAGAUUCUAAAACUUACCUGAAGCGCCGGUAAUGGCCGACACUGCCACCACGUUACGCCGGAGAGAAAAAUCUACUGGAGAUGAGAACUGGCCAAAGAACCAAACUUUACUGUCCCGUAAACCCAUGAAUCGUUUUUCAUCUUCUGAUUCAGCGUAACGGGAGUGAUCGUCGACGAAGACGGCGAUGAGAGAGAAACCGCCAUUGUUGUUUUUACUCCGGGAAAGCCGAAAGAAAUAAGAAAAAUCCUAACUUUAACGUUUUAGUUAGAAAAAAAAAAUCAAAUUAAAAAAAAUCAAACUUUAAGUUAUUACACGUUGUAUAGAUGACGUAAGCAUUGUCCGAAACAGAAAAAAGUCAAACGCCACGUAAGCUCAGUAAGAGUAAAAUUUUUUGGAAAAGGUAGAUCUUUUUUAAAAGCGAACUAGAUUUUGAUCCGCACAUCCGUGCGGGUAUUCGUUUAAACUUUUAAAAACAUACAAUAGAUAUUUACAUAAAAUUGUUAUAUUAGCGUUUUAUACCAGCUCAAAUAAGAUAAGCUUUUAGCACAUAUAUAAUUAUUAGUAAUACUAUAAGUAAGUAAUUAUUUGAGGUUUAUUUAUUUUAUGUUAUUCAUGUACAUUAAUAUUUAAAAUUUUAAAAAUAGUUAUUAUAUAUAAUAUAAAUGGACUACUUAGUUUUGGAAAGGAAAAAAAUUGAUAUUUUUUAAUAUUUAUGGAAUGGUAAAAACUAUUUUAUAUUGAUUUUAUAUCAUAUCAUUCGUAUUAAUAUAUAUAUGUACAGUUCACAACAGGUAAAAUUAAUUAAUUUUUAACUUUAAGAAAGAUUUUGUUAAGAUAUAUUAUCAUUUGAAACAAUAAUUAAUAUUUCCAUAUAUAAAAGUAAUUGAUGGUAUAUUUUUAAGGAAGAUUUUGUUAAGUUUAACUAAUAUAGUGCUCUUUUGCGAAAUAGACACUUUUUAUUAAUAAUAUUUUAUACGUACAAUCAUAUAAAUAAUCACAUAUAUUAUAUUUUAAAAUUUAAUGUGAAAUAUAAAAGCUAUAAUUUAAGUUGGUGUUUGAAAUUGGGCUUUGUAUUGCAUUUUUUUUUAUAUAUUGAAAAUAUUUUUAUAAUAGUUAUUGGAAAAUAUGUUAGUAAAAAUUAAAUUUUGAAUAUAUGUAUACUUUUAAAUGAAUUUUUGAUAUAAAUCAAUUUUAAAUUAUUAUUUUGAUUUGAAUAUAUAUAUCAAGUAACAUAGACCCAUUAUUUUUUAAUAUAAUAUAAUAGACUUCCAAUUUUUUAGUAGCAUAAGCCUAAUAUGUUUUUUCCUAACUUACUACUAUCUAUGUUUCCAAACAAUACUAUUUUUUUUAACUACUAUCCAUAUUGCCAAACAAUCUCAGUGUGUACUUCAACUUUAAUAAUAUAUAUAUAUAUAGAUGUUCCUUCUUUGCACGUUUAAGGGAUCUCAAGCCGCUUCUCUCUCUCACACAUCUCUGAAAUGGCGAGAGUAUUGCGUGUGGCGAGAUCCUCCUCCUCCCUCUUCAGCUUCGGAAGCAGAUCUUAUUCAGCCGAAGCUAGCCACGUGUCCUCUCCCCCUCCUCCGUUUCUUGGAGCUCGCAGAGACGUUACCAAGGAGAGAAACGUGCAGUGGGUGUUCCUCGGUUGUCCCGGUGUCGGGAAGGGGACUUACGCCAGCAGACUCUCGAGUCUCCUCGGUGUUCCUCACAUCGCCACCGGAGAUCUCGUCCGUGAUGCGCUAGCUUCUUCCGGACCUCUCUCCCGACAGGUUCUUGUUUCACUUUAUGUCCAAAUGAAUCCCAAAACGACGUCGUUUUCUGUUUAAAUCUGCUAAAAGUUCAUGUGUCUACCAACAGAUCUAAUGAACUAGUGUUUGUUUUGUCCUAACGGAUCUGAUCCUUUUUCUAAUAAUAGUCAACGGCUCUCUCCUCUUGCUUGUAUUGAGAUUCUUAUUACUUGAUUGCAGCUAUCAGAGAUUGUAAACCAGGGGAAGCUUGUUUCUGAUGAGAUCAUAGUGAACUUAUUAUCAAAGAGACUUGAAGCUGGUGAAGCCAAGGGCGAAUCAGGUUUCAUUCUUGAUGGCUUUCCUCGUACCAUGAGACAAGCUGUAAGUUAAUUCAUUGACUUCACAUCAUAUUGAGCAAAGUUUUGAAUGAUUAAUCUUUGUGUUUUCAGGAAAUAUUAGGAGAUGUCACUGACAUCGAUCUAGUGGUGAACUUAAAGCUACCUGAGGAGGUUUUGGUUGACAAAUGCUUAGGGAGGAGAACGUGUAAUCAAUGCGGUAAAGGUUUCAAUAUAGCUCACAUCAACUUAAAGGGUGAGAAUGGGAAACCAGGAAUCAGCAUGGAUCCACUUCUCCCUCCACCUCAGUGUAUGUCAAAGCUCAUCACUCGUGCUGAUGAUACUGAGGAGGUUGUGAAAGCUAGGCUCCGUAUUUACAAUGAAACCGUAAGUCCUCUUUCUCUCUCUCUAUUGUUCUUCCCAUUUUAGCGAUGCUUGAUGCUUUGAAUGAUGUGUGCAGAGCCAGCCUCUUGAAGAGUACUACCGUAUCAAGGGAAAGCUGAUGGAGUUUGACUUACCUGGAGGCAUCCCUGAGUCUUGGCCAAGGCUGUUAGAAGCUUUAAGGCUUGAUGAUUACGAGGAGAAGCAAUCUGCCGCGGCGUAGUUCAACUACAACUCCGGUUUAUAAUUCUUUGCAUGUGGAAGACAUGUGCCUAUAUCAGUUUUGUGUUGGAAAAUAAAGAAAACCUUAGAUUGUUUUUUUUUAUUGCCUCAGAUCAGAAUAAUCAUCAUCAUACACACUUUGCAAACUAUAUGAUGUAUCAUGAUUGUUUAUGAGUUUGCUAGUUACAGGAAUGUAUAAACACUUUGGUACACUUUUGAUUAUUUAUUGUUGAAUGUGAUCAAUGAUUGUUUAUGAGUUUGCUAGUUACAUUACAUGAAUGUAUCAAUACUUACACUGCUUGUUACACAUCAGGUUUGAUGUUUGGGCUCUUGUGAUUAGUUUGUUUAUUGUUGAAUGUGUGUGAUAAUAUUGCGGCUGGCCGAGCUGGCUGGUUAAAGAACACAACCAGACAGUAAAGUAAAACAGUCGCAUACAUUAAAGAUUUUGUGGAACGUAUAACCAGCUCCUGUCUGUCCUAGAAUUGGCGGUUCAGGAUAGAACUGUUCCUUACAUACUGGAACUUCCAGUAGAAUUUGAUGCUAAUUGUUGGUCCUAAACUAGUGUGUAUCAGUUGCUAUGUGAUCUCAUAACUGGACCUUAUCUUAUGGUUUGUGCUUGAGGUUUCUGAGAAAUCGCUGGGUUCAUUUGAUUCUUCUGGUUUGACAAUUAGUUUCUUGUUAUGGACACGGUGAAAUCAGACUCAAAUCGGUGGAAUAAGACAGCCUCAAAGAAGGCAGACAUAAUCAUGUUUGCUCUUGAUUCAUCUUCAAUCUCAACAGGACAUUAAAAUCAAUUUGUAGCUUUAUUUUGUUAGUAUAUAGAUUUGAUGAAAUAAACAACCUUUAAAUUAUAAAUAUAAAGAUGAAAAUAUUCUUAAACAUGAAACCGUUUUGAUCAAGAUUCAAAAAAAACUUCAUUAAAAGAUAGGGACAUCUUCUGAAACAUAUCCAAAAAGCUCUAAUGAAAAACAGCAAGAUAAGGUCUUUGAGAUGUAAUGCAAACUCAAGGCCUAGGAAGAUCCUCCUUAACGGUUGGCCUUCGCAACUCUCUCAAUCUCAUCCUUCUUCUUGAUGGCAUAGCUGCAAAAAAACAAGACAAGAUGCUAUUAGUAUUUAGCAACAAACAAACACAAUUUGUGAACCCGCUUUAAGAGACAAGACAAUGUAAAGAUGUUUACCUGUUGGAAGAUCCCUUGGCAGCAUUGAUGAGCUCAUCAGCAAGGCACUCAGCGAUUGUCUUGAUGUUUCUAAACGCAGCUUCACGUGCACCAGUGGUGAGCAAGAAGAUGGCUUGGUUCACACGUCUUAGAGGAGAGAUAUCAACAGCCUGCCUCCUAACCACACCAGCAGAUCCAAUCCUCGUCGCAUCCUCACGUGGACCACUAGCUCACCAAUAAAACACACACAACAUUAGAAAAAAAGGUUUCUAGUAACACGCAAUAAAGAAUGCAACAUUGUUGUCUUACCUGUUGACAAUGGCAUCAAUGAUAACCUGAAUAGGGUUCAAGUCAGUCAAGAGAUGGAUGAUCUCCAUGGCGUGCUUGAUGAUCCUCACAGCCAUCAGCUUCUUUCCGUUGUUCCUUCCGUGCAUCAUGAGAGAGUUCGUGAGCCUCUCAACAAUGGGACACUGAGCCUUCCUGAACCUCUUGACAGAGUAUCUUCCAGCAGUGUGGGGGACAAAGGUCGCGUGCUUAGGAGGCUGAACCCCAAUGUAGUCAACAAGACUAAUGUCUGUGCCCUACCCAUUCACAAAAAAAAAAAACACAAGAUCAACAAAACAAAUACUAAGAACAUAGCCAUUGUUGCCAAUUUAAAUUUUAGAGAUCUAAUAUUCAAAAACAAACCAAACAACACAGAAAGUGUUGGACUUUAAGACAAAGAAACAUCAGGAUCAACCAAGUGUACUGAGACAAUAAAACAUGAAUUGAAAAUUAACAAAAAUAAAAACAAAAAGAGGACAUUUUUUCCGACAUAACUCCAUGAGUUAUAUCUAAUUCAGACAAUGUAACUAUUUUUUUGUAAUAGACCAAUCAUUUCAUUGUAGAAUUAGAUCCUAUAAAGAUUGCAAAUGAGCUAUCGUAAACUUACCGAAACGUCAUCAAAGCUCCAGCGAUUGAAGAGCUUGACCUCGUUGGUAAGCUGCUGCUGAAUCUCAGCGUCAAUCUCAACGGCGGCGGCCAUGGCUGGAAACACCAAACAUACUUACACUGCUUGUUACACAUCAGGUUUGAUGUUUGGGCUCUUGUGAUUAGUUUGUUUAUUGUUGAAUGUGUGUGAUAAUAUUGCGGCUGGCCGAGCUGGCUGGUUAAAGAACACAACCAGACAGUAAAGUAAAACAGUCGCAUACAUUAAAGAUUUUGUGGAACGUAUAACCAGCUCCUGUCUGUCCUAGAAUUGGCGGUUCAGGAUAGAACUGUUCCUUACAUACUGGAACUUCCAGUAGAAUUUGAUGCUAAUUGUUGGUCCUAAACUAGUGUGUAUCAGUUGCUAUGUGAUCUCAUAACUGGACCUUAUCUUAUGGUUUGUGCUUGAGGUUUCUGAGAAAUCGCUGGGUUCAUUUGAUUCUUCUGGUUUGACAAUUAGUUUCUUGUUAUGGACACGGUGAAAUCAGACUCAAAUCGGUGGAAUAAGACAGCCUCAAAGAAGGCAGACAUAAUCAUGUUUGCUCUUGAUUCAUCUUCAAUCUCAACAGGACAUUAAAAUCAAUUUGUAGCUUUAUUUUGUUAGUAUAUAGAUUUGAUGAAAUAAACAACCUUUAAAUUAUAAAUAUAAAGAUGAAAAUAUUCUUAAACAUGAAACCGUUUUGAUCAAGAUUCAAAAAAAACUUCAUUAAAAGAUAGGGACAUCUUCUGAAACAUAUCCAAAAAGCUCUAAUGAAAAACAGCAAGAUAAGGUCUUUGAGAUGUAAUGCAAACUCCUUACAUAGCCAUUGAACUGCUGUUCAGCUGUCUGAACCUCAGAGGCUGAAGACAUAGUCACAAACCCAAAACCUCUGCUUCUCCCUGUCACCUUGUCAUAGAUAACCUAAACAAAGACAACAAAACGAACAAUCACUAAAACCAAUCUCAAACAACAACAACAACAACAACAAAAAAGAUUCAAUCUUUAUCUCAUUUCUCGAAAACCCAUAACUCAAUUUUGAGUUUUUGACUCGUUACCUCAACCAUCUCGACGUUUCCGGCGCUCUCGAAGAGCUGAGCGAGCUGAGCGCUGUCGACGUUAAAGGGGAGGUUACCGACGAAGAGCUUGAGGUCAGAAGAGAAGGAUUGCUCCCGCCGCGGGGGAGGAGGAGCGUCGUCGUCAGCGAAGAUGCCGUCUUCUUCGACUGAGAAGUCGUCAGUAACCGCGACGUUACGGACGAAGCGAGAGGAAGCGGCGGAGAUGGAGAGGGAGAGGGAGGCGGAGAGGGAGUGGAGAUUGAAGGAGAGGGAAGGAGGUAGGAGGGAAACGGAGGCGGGUCUGGAGAUGGAGAAAGGAAGGGACUUGGGGGUGAAAGUGGAGAGAGCGAGAGAGGAAGCUGAAGCAGCCAUGGUGAAGAGAUGAGAAGAGAUAAGGUUUGUUUUUAG
rnacentral:lncRNA from 1 species